CACAAUGAGGACACAAAUUAGGCUUCCAUGCUCCAUUAAGUCUUUUUAAUCGUUCAAACAUGUAAAAUAAUGAUGAACUAGGGUGUCUCUGUGGGCCCUCUACAAUAUAUUUCAAUCCCAAGUCAUCUGAUGCUUGAAUCUUUACCACCACAGAAAAGCCAAUAUCCAAUUUUGGAUUGAAAACAUUUCCGUCAUCAACAGCUAAAUAGUGAAACACAGUGACCAUAUAGGGAUUUGGAUCACUUAUACUCUUUUUCUUAGACUCUAUAACAACAAGACUUCCCCUCCUUCCUUUACCAUAGAGAAUGUUUGUAUAUUCUUUUACUUCUCCACAUGCAUUGAUGGUGCUGUUAGAAUUAACACCUCGAGUUAAAAUGCAUACCUCUCCGCAAGCGGCCAUUUCAGGAACAGGUAUCUCAAGAUACCCCUUAUCAGUUUUUCUUAUUAUAAUUUCCAAAUCAACACUAGUGAUAUUGGAACCAUUGUCUGCAUCAUGGAGAGAUAAUGAUGCCUCUUUAUGACUUCUCUCAAAUUUGAGUUCACAUGUUGAUGACCUAUCUACGGUGUAUAACAUCUUGGUCACUUUGGGAACUUCAUCAUCACUAUCACUGGGAACUUCAUCAUCACUAUCACUGCAAUCACGUUUGUUCUCUGUAUAUGUCAUAAUCUGUGUAAUCGUUGAAGAGACUAGGACCGUUGGGAUUAUUUCCCAUGUCAAAUUAUAUUUUACCUACAACACAAAUUCGUUACAUAAGAAUUAAUACCGCAUAAAUGAUCAAGAGUUACAUGCAAUUGUAAAAGGAAUUGUAACAAGAUAGCACAAGAAGUAAUAAAACACCACUUGCAAGGAAGAAACAUUCUAGAUCUCACCUCUACAUAUAUAUUUUUCAUAAGAAUAGUUUACGUAAUAACAAAAAUGAACUUGAAAGUAGGAAACCUGAUUCGAAGUAGCUUCUAACUCUGCUCUUGUUGCUUUGCACUCUUAGGUGGUUAAUGUCGCAUAUGAAAAAACAGUAUAAAUACACAGAAAAAGAAUCCUUGCAAUUAAAAACGGUAUGAAAGAGAAUUAAGCAUUAUUCCAACUCAAAUUAUAAGACCGGCAUCUAAUUCCUGUUGAUCCUAUCUUCCAUACCACUAACGUUUUGAAUGCCCGCUGUCUCUUUCUUGAUUGAAAUUAUUGAGAUAAAUAACCGAAUCUUGGAUCGGAAUUGGGUUCAAAGUUAUUUUCCUUUUAUUAGAUUAUGCUCCACCUUAGACAAAAAUAAAUUCUCUGUAUAACAAGAUUUUGGUUUUGUUGACAUAUGUUGGCUCAAUUUGCAUGAGUUGAUUAAUUCGCAAAAAAUCCUCUAUCUAUCAUUCAUCUUGUAGAACUUGUAUUUAAUAAUAAUAAUAAUAAUAAUAAUAAUAAUAAUAAUAAUAAUAAUAAUAAUAAUAAUAAUAAUAAUAAUAAUAAUAAUAGGAUUUUUUUACCACAAUGCCCUUAAAUUGAAAGUAAAAUCCCAAUAUACCCCUUUCUGAAAAAAAAAAUCCAGAAUGCCCAGCUUUUGUCUUUGGAUUCGCCCAUUCAAAGGACGAGUGGGUGAAGGAUGAAUCUUGGCUGCAUAGACUCGCCCAUUGAUUGGACGAGUAGAUACGUGAAUUUUUGCCAUGCUUGAACUCGGGCAAUGGAUGGUCGAGUGAAUGCAGUGUUAAUUUUUUUAAAUAAAUUUAAUAAAGCUAAUGAAUUAAUAUUGUUUUGAAAUAAUAUGUUAUUCCAAUGACUUUCAAUGACCGAGUAAUUGUUUGUGUUUGUACUGUCUCGGCCAAUGAUUGACCGAAUAUUCAAGUAUUAAUUUUCUAUAAAUAGUAGGACUUGUAGAAAUGUAACUCAGAUCUCAAAAUGUUUAUUUUGGUAAGAAUGUCUGUUUGGGGUCUUGUAUUUUAUGGACAAGGUGAAAAAACCAGUGUUUGCCUCGAUCCGCAAUGGAAUUUCAGAACACUGAUUUUAGCCAUCCACAUUGGCUUCCAACAGUUGGGCGGGCGUCGUAUGAAGGUGAGGAAAAUAGAGUAUCGUUGUCCAUACAUAACGUUGACUGAUGCAAGCCCCGAUGGUACGUACAUGUAUUACCUGGAUCGUAUAGAAAAUGAUGAAGAUGUUCAGUGUAUAUUUUCGGCACAUAAUGGUGAAGUCAAUAGAGGGGUUGAAGGACCACUUGUGUUGGUUGUUGUUGUUGAUUAGUUUUUUAAUAACCUCUAAGAAUUUUAGUUGAUGUGAUUAUACUUUGUAACCAGAAGCCUUUGAUUGUCAAAUGUAUUUCAUAAUGUUUGUUUUCAGAAGACAUUAUUGAGACACAAUGGUUUAUAUAUAGUACAUGCAUAGUAGUUAAUAAUAAUAAAACAACAUAAUCAUCUGGAGGAUCCUGUAACAUUUGGACAUUUCCUACGCAUGUGUCCUAUUUCACGGUAAAUUCCACACCUUCUCUUUUCCUUCUCAACGUUGUCCAUCUCGGUUCUAAUCUGGGUGCUGUUUGGGCGCCCUUUCUUCCUCCUUCUCAUAGAGUCGUCGUGACAAAAAGUAAAUCCUUCAUAUUGUGGCCAAUUCUCCUCACGGGGAAGUCCUAAGAAACUCUCCUUAUAGACCUUGAAGACGUUAUGAAUUUUGAACACGUAUGGUAUGUGAAUGGAGUAGUCCUGGCGUAUACUCGAAUAUGUUGCGAUUACAUGGGAGCAAGGUAAGUGAAAUGCCUGAAAUUUCCCACAAUCGCAGUGUUGUUUCCCAAGAUCAACUUUGAAUGUACCGGUUGGUCGACCAUCAUUCUGAUUAAUCUUCUCUUGGACCAUGAAAUAGAAUCUCUCGCGAUCAAAUUGCAUGACGUUAUGCGUGUUAGCUUUCAUGGCUUCCUCAUCCAUCCCCUUGUUGUAGUUAUCAGUGAAAACCUGCCCAGAGGCUAACAUUUUUGUCCAUUGAUGGCCUCUUUUACCAAAUAGUGAUCCUAAUCGAUAGUACGUAGAUUUGACCAAUGCAGUGAUUGGAAGGUUUUGGGUCUCUUUGAGUAUUGAGUUCAUUGCUUCUGCCAGAUUAGUUAUUAUGUGACCCCAGUGUUGCCCUCCUUCAAAUUCCCUUGCCCACUUCUCCCGAUGGAUGUUGUCUAUCCAUGAUAAAGUGUCAUUGUUUGUUCUUCGAAUUUCCCCCCGACAGUAGUUAAAUUUCGCCUCUAUCAACGCAUAACCCAUGUUAACAACUAUUUUGCGCAGUUCUUGUCUUUAAUCUCACGCAUGAAGUUUUGCGCAAUGUGUCUAAUGCAAUAGACGUGUCAUGACGGGUGAUACUUCCAUCCAUUUUCUGGAUUGUUAUAUGAACUCUUUAUCGAUUCAUGCCUAUCUGAUAUUAGACACAAAUUUGCUUGGGGAGUAACGUGUAUUCUCAAAUUCUUAAGAAAGAAACUCCAAGCAUCCUUUGUCUCACUUUCAACCAAUGUGAACUCUAUUGGAAAAACGAUCUCGUUCCCAUCCUAUGCCACAGCCAUCAACAAAGUCCCCCUGUACUUUCCGUACAACCAUGUUCCAUCAACCUGCACAAUAGGUUUACAAUACACGAAACCACGUAUACAUGGUCGAAACGCCCCAAAAAGACGAUGAAAGAUCCUUUGGUCACCCAAGUGUGAUCCAUCAUUUGAAAUCACAAGUAAGGAUUGCAAUUCUAUAAUAGUACCCAGUAGAUAUGUUUUUAUUACCAGUAUCCACUGCGGUAGAUCGUUGUAAGAUGUCUCCCAAUUUCCAUACAGCGACUCAAUUGCCUUACACUUUGCAAUCCAUGCCUUUUUGUAGGAUAUGAUAUACCUGUAUUUUUCAGCAACAUGAGUGAUGAUCACCUUCACCUGAAGAGAAGCGUCGCGAUAUACAAGCUCCAUUAUGCUCUUACUAAUAAUUUAUGAACUAAGUUUUGUAUGGUCUUGUGACAUAGAAGUAGUUGUGCAUGUAUGAGGCCCACCAGACUUACCAACUCUCCACUUUGAGUUUCUCUUAUGCAAAGAAACCCUGCAUUUGAAAUUGCAUGUAGAAUUUCUACAUUUGAUGACAUAACGUAUAUUGUCAGAUUUAGUCAUAGAAUAAUUUAGACUACGUUUUAUAUGCCAUUGUUGCAACGCAGAACACGCACUUCCUUAUUUUCAAACUCGAUACCCUCCUCUAUUUCGUCAGCAUUGUGAGUUGGUAUGAAACUUCCAAAAAUGGAGAUUGAGCUCUUAUAUUUUACAUGUGAACAGGUGGGUUGUACAAACUUAUAUUUUGCAUGUGAACAGGUGGGUUGUACAAACUAAUCGGUUGAGCUCUUAGUGCAAUGGUCGGUGUGUCGGUGAUAUCUUCAUUGCUGUCGUCAUCGCUAACACCAAAUAGAUCUUCAAAUCGGACAUUUUCUUGAUCAUCCUCACUAUUGUCGCCUACCUCUUCAUUUGGUAUGAAAGGUUCAUUAUUUUUGAGUCGGUUCUUCGUCAAUGGUUUGACUCAUUCCAUACUGGUGUGACUGUAUGGAUUGCGUUGGAUAUGUUUCAAGAUUUUCAAGUAGACGAACAUAUAUCUCAAUGGUGGGUAACUGAGAAAAUGUUAUAUGACAUUGAAACAUCGACUUGACGUCUUCUUCAUUCUCAAUAGGUGUCAUUACGUAAAAGACGGUAUCAUCGUCUCCAUUAAUUAAUGGAUGGCGAUAACUAAUGUCUUCAACACAAUUUUGUAACUUUUUUCAAUUCGAUCUUUUAGAUGAUGGAAGUUAGAAUUGAUGUGGAUUUUGAAUAAAUGCACAUUUGUAUUGCUAAAUGAGAAUCCCUCAUUAACAUCUGUGAAAAUUGACCCGUUGGAAUGGAUAGACACGACUGAAUUUCUUUGAGCGAUGAAUGUAGGAGAUUUGGUUUGAUGACAAUGGAUAAAGAUAUGAAUGUAGGAGAUUUGGUUUGAUGACAAUGAAUACCAUUAAAGACCUAAUUUAUAGUCAAAAAACAAUUUCCAAGGAAACCAAACCCUAAAAACAAAAUUUAUAUUUUAAAAAUCAGUCAGAAGUAGCUCGUCCUUCAAUUUGACGAGAGAGAAAACGUGAAGACCUAGCUCGUCAAUUCGUUGGACGACUCAAAACCCUAGAAGACUAAGCUUGUCCUUUCGUUGGAUGAGUCAACACGAUGGUAGGCCUAGCUCGGCCAUCUAAUGGGUGAGUCUGAACGCAUGAAACUUUGGCAGUCCCAUGUCCAAUCAUCCAGAGAAUCCUUCUUGCAGGGAAUCCUUGCAAAGUCACACAGUAAAUGAAUUUUUGCAUGCAUGCACUCAUAAGUCCCAUCAACCUACACUAUUUUCACCAAUUGAUUUAAUAUUUUUCCACCACUAUAAAUUAACCUUUCAUCUACAACUCAUUUUCAUCAACUACCUUCAGUUUCUCACAUCAAAUAUUCAUUCUCUUCUAUUUCAUAUCUAUUUCACAAAUCCAAAAUGUCUUUGUUAUGGAUGGGCGAAUCACACUGUGGGACAACAACGAACAUUACCGAAUAUGUAAGUAUGCGUAUUCUUUACUUUUUUAUCAACUACCUUCAGUUUCUCACAUCAAAUAUUCAUUAUCAUUUUUAUAUGAAUUUCAGGAAGACACUAGGUUCCGGGUCCAUUCUCAUACUUACAUUCAACCAAGUGCGGUUAUAAUACCGUAUUUGAAACUAGUUGGUUUUGCAAAUGUAGCCAAGAUAGCAAGUUUAAAAGUAGACUUUAAACUAAUUGUUGCAUUGUUAGAGAGAUGGAGACCCGAGACACAUAUGUUUCAUUUAUCAACUAGUGAAUGUACUAUUACACUAGAGGAUGUGAGUAUGUUACUCGGUCUCCGAAUUAAUGGUAAAGUUGUUAAUGGCCCAACAAAUAUAACCAAUGAUGUUUACAUGGAGAAUUUGGGCGUCGAACCGACCGUUUCAAAUAAAAAUGGGGCUUCUGUCAAAAUUGUUUGGUUAGAAGCUCUAUUAGCACAGCUAAAAAAUAACUCUAACUCGACAGAGGAGGAAAAUAUUCUCCAUGCAAAAGUUUAUAUUUUACUAUUAGUUGCUACUUUUUUAAUGUCAGAUAAGAGUAACAAUUUAUUGCAUUCUUCUUGGUUACCUUUAGUAGGAGACCUAGAAAAAUGUAACACAUAUAGUUGGGGUUCUGCUUGUCUGGCAACACUAUAUAGACAUAUGUGAAAGGCAACCCAUAAAGGAGUGAAGAGCAUAAGAGGCUGUGUUAUAUUACUAAGUGUCUGGGCAUUCACACGCAUACCCUUGUUUUCCCUAGUUAGUAACGAGGUUCCAUCACAUCCAUAUGCAUUAAGGUACUGAUUUUCAUUGAAGUUCAAUUUAUAUUUCUCAAAAUUAAUUAUACGUCGCAUUAAGGUAUUUUUUUUCAUAUGCAAGAUGGUGCAAACGAGGUAUGCAUUACGGAAAUAAUCUUCGUCAUCAUCUACGGGGGUACCAUGUUGCAAUUGAACACAUGAAAGAAAACGAUGUAAGAAUGGUUAAUUAUAAUAUUCAACUUAUCUAAAUUUCUUUUAUACAUUCUAAUAGUUAUAUUUCUUUUAACAGUCUAUAUGGAGGUCGUACAUACAAUAUCCAAUGUCUGGUUAUAGUGACAACCGAGUCUGGAGUGCAACGACAUAUAUAGUAUGUUUUUUUAUCGUUGAGAUGCAUCAGACGGAUCAGAUCAAACUCCAAUUUGGAUUCGAACAACAAAUCCCGUCUCAGCCAAGAUGUCUAAGUGAACACCAUAAUAUGACUAUGGUCCAAGCUUGGGAUAAACAUUGGAAAUAUUUAAACAAAGAAGAGCUCAAAGAAUGGAAAAGGAGAAGGCAUUUGGUGUUACAAGGUAACUCGGUAAUUAAUGAAUCUAAGCCGGGUAGAGAAUACAUGAAUUGAUUUUUGUCAAUUCCUUUUACGCACAUUGCUCCAACACAAUUUUUGACUGAUCCCCGUCAACAUGUAGCUUCAUCAACCCAACAAACAACAUCACCCUUACACCAAGACAUUCCCCCCACAUACACAUCCCAAUUUGGGGCCCAACCAUCAUCAUCAGCUCAACAAACUUACCAACACACCCAGACCACCCAACAACACACCAUAUAUUCCACCUCAACCCAACACCAUAAUCCCCACACUUCAUUCCCUCAAACAAACUACUUUUACAACCAACAAUAUCAACAACAAACCAACCUACGCCCACCCAUACAAUACACUCCAAUUCCUCAACCCAACUUUGAUAAAUCAAACCCCCAUUCUCAAUCCCAAACAUUUAACACCAUAUUCGCACAACCCACUCCUACAUACAACCCUGAUGAUGUUUAUUAUCCUUCUAUCCAAUACACCCAACCCAACACCUACACACAACCCACACAUUCACUAUCCGACUUUGACCUCACCGAUGACCGUCUACUGAAUAUGCCUUCUUUCUCCAUUCAAGAACUCGACGAUAUGGAUAAGCCUCCAAACACAUCACAGCAACAUCAAAGUCAACAACAAGAUCAACAUGAAGAUCUGCCUUCCGACUCAUCUCUGUCUCCCGCAAGACAAAGACAAGAAGACUUGGGCAAGGGAAAAUGCAAAAAAGUUGGCACAAGAUGUGGAACAGGGCGGUCACUAUAAAUAAAAUGUAUUUCUUCCAUUAUAUCAAUAAAAUUAUUAUUACUCAUUACAAUUCAUUAUAUGCCUCAUUAUAAUAUUUAUAGUUUUAUUAUUAAAACAAUUUUUUAAUUUACAAAAAUAUUAUUAGUAUUUAAAAAAAAUCAUUUUUAUUAUUUAAAUAUAGAAAUAAUUAAAAAAUUAUUUAAUAAUAAUUUUAAUAAUGUAAUUAAAUUAUAAAAUUGUAUUUAAAAUAAAUAAAAUAAAAUAAAACGUCUCCUUCAUUAGCUCGAUCAACUAUUGGCCGAGUCUACCCAACAUGUCCAACGCUUCACCAACUCGUCCUUUGAACGGGGGAGUUCAAAGGCAAAAAUGGGGCAUUCUAAGAAUUUUUUUGAAAAAAAUGGUAUAUUGGGAUUUUAAUUUCAAUUUAAGAGCACUGGUAAAAAAAAGUCUAAUAACAGUGAGGUUACACUACUACAUAAAACACUUUUCACAUACCAUAAAAGUGACGUUUUGCAUCAGUUGUUUUUUUUAUGAGAAAAAAAUUGUAUUGACACCCAUUACAACAAAUUCUGUUUGAGCUCAGCAAACACAGUGAUGAACAACUAUCCACCUGCUCUAAAGUGUUGUAGAAAGCUCACAUAUGCUACAAAGAUAGACUAGACACUAUCUUGACAACAUAAUUACUGGUGAUUAGUAGAUAUAUAGCCGUAAACACACUAGAAUAGCUACAAAGAUAGACUAGACACUAUCUUGACAACAUAAUUACUGGUGAUUAGUAGAUAUAUAGCCGUAAACACACUAGAAUUUCACUUAGCCAUCUUUCCUACUAAAUGAUGAGUUCUCCAUUCAGCAUCAAAAUAUUAAAUUACCCAAUGAGAUUGCCAAAAAGAGGAUAAAAACCACCGCCAUUUAUGCUUAGUGCAACUCCAAUCAAUUUUCUCAUCUCUUAACCCCAAACAAGACAUCCAUUUCGAUCAUUCCAUAAAAUACCGGCGAACACACAAUCAUGUACGAUAUUACUAUAACAAAUAAUAUAUUUUCUCCUCAACCGACAAACAACCGAUGUGUGAAUUAUAGGCGCAUCACAUGUGAAAGAUGAAGAAAAGAAACCAUGAUCAAAUUAAUAUUCAGUUACUUACCACCUAAGCAAUAACAGUUAUAGCUGUUUUUCUGUUUUUUAUUAACUCAUAGAUUCAGCUCAUAAUGUGUAUAUAAGUGAAUGCAUCACUUUGUAAAGUUAAGAUUGUGAGUAAUAAAGAUUUCUGCAUUUUCCUGCAUUCUCUUUCUUCAAGCUUGUUUUCUUCAACAUUGGUGAAUCACCAUUAGUUUUCACAUGGUAUCAAGAGCAAAUUUGGUAUCCCUCACUAGCUUACUCCAUUGGCUCACAAGUCUCGUCUUAUCCUUCAAACGUUCACUUUUUUCGUUGAACAUUCUGGAAUCUCCACCAAGAUUCAUUCACUCAUGGCUGCAGAAAGCUUAGCUAGUAGCAUCAAUGACGCUCCCCAAGUUCAUCAUCAAGUAAAAGGUUACCAUACUGAUAUUCUCAAUGCAUAUUUCAUGCAUCCAAAUGAGAAUCAUGGUAACGUUCUUGCUACUUCUCUCUUAUCUGGCCUCAAUUAUCAUUUUUGGUCAUGGGUUGUGACAGUUGCUCUUAGAUCCGAGCAUAAAUUGCACUUCAUCAAUGGUGCAUUACCUCGUCCUUCUGAUGAUGAUGACAAAUACUCCAUUGCAUGGGGUCGUUGUAGUACCAUGAUUAUAUCAUGGACCAUUAACUAUGUCGAGCCCGAGAUUUCACAAAUCAUACUAUGGAUGGACACAACUCCAGAAAUUGGAAAGAGCUCAAAGAUCGAUUCUAUCAAGGUGAUGUAUUUCGAAUCUCUGAUCUUCAAGAAGAAAUUUACACUUUGAAACAAGGUGAAUGCAAUGUAUCUACAUACUAUACCAAGAUGAAAAAGCUAUGGCAAGAGUUGGAUAAUUUUUGUCUGAUCCCUAACAAUAGUUGCAAUGAUGACUGCAAAGCGCUUGAGAAAAUACUCAUAAUAAUUGUCACAUUGAUGGUGAUGAAGAGGAUGCAAAAUCCAUAGCUUAUGCAUAGGACAAUAGUGAAUCAGAAAAAGGGAACUUGUAUUUUACUCUAGAACAACACAAAGCUUUGCUAGCUCUUCUACAAAAAUCUAGCAAAGGGAACUUGUAUUUUACUCUAGAACAACACAAAGCUUUGCUAGCUCUUCUACAAAAAUCUAGCAGCAUGCAGUCUCAUAGUGUGAACUAAGUCACCACCAAAACCUAUGAUAAUGUAGGUAUUAUCUGUGCCACUCCCUCAUUACCCGAUUCACAUAAUACUUUCAUCCUAGAUACAUGAGCAACAACAUAUCAUACUUGUCACUCCAAUUACACUUUUCAGUGCAUGAAGAGAAUUAAACCAAUUACACUUUAGUAUCUGCAAAUCUAGCUGGUACUAUCAUGUUUGGCAUAAAUUUUUACAUCACCAAUGUUCUUUACUUUACCAACUUUCCUUUCAAUCUAAUAUCUGCUCCAAAAAUCACACUAAGUCUUAACUGUUUUCUAACUUUUUAUGGUAAUAAAUGUUUGAUACAGGACUCUUCAUCCAAGAAGAUGAUUGGUGUAGUUGAAAUGAAUCAUGACUUGAUGUGCUCACACAUCCUUUGGCCAGUUUUAUAACAUCACCCUCUGAACAUUGUAUGAAGCCCUCAUGUAAAACCAUUAAUUCUCUAUAUAAGUGUGAUAGAAGUAUUGAUUUUAAUUUGUGGCCCAUGAGAUUUGGCCACCAAUCUUUUGAAAAAUUGACUGAUAUUAAUAAAAUACUUCCUUUUGUUAAAAUUUCAAAAUCAUCUUAACCUUAUGAUAUUUGUUUCUAUACCAAAUAAAAGAUGUUUCCCUUUUCCCUUAGUUCAAGUGUGUCUAUCAAUAGUUUUGAUCUAGUCCAUAUGGAUAUUUGGGAUCCAUUGUCCAUUCCUUCUUUAUCUGGAUUCAAAUAUUUUAUGACUGUUGUGGAUGACAAGAGUUGGUUCACUUGGAUAUAUUUGAUGAAGGAGUUUGAGACAGUUAAAAAUUACUAUUUUAAAGUUAAAGAAAUAAUUAAUCAAAUGAGAGUUGUUGGGAAGAAUAUUGGUGACAAGAAAGUUUUAGAGAAAAUUCUAAUUACUAUGCCCCCAAAGUUUGACCCAAUCGUGACAACGACUGAGAAAAUCAAAGAUCUCUCCACUUUAUCAGUGACAAAACUAGUGGGCUCUUUUGAAGCAUAUGAGCAAAUAUUGCAUAGGCAUAAAGAAGAUACACUUGAAAAUUCCUUACAGUCAAACCUCGAGUUUGAAUCCCAAAAUAAAGAAAAUAGAGGAAAGAAAAAUUAUGGAGAAACUUCCAGAAGAAGAGAAGUUUCUAGAAAUUUACUUACGAAUAAGUCACAUAAAAACACUUCAUGCAACAUAUGCAAAAGACUAGGUCACGCAGAGGAAAAUCGUUGGUACCAUAAUAUGCAAAAUAUGCCACGUCUUCAUCUCCAUGCAACCAUUGUCUUCGAUAAGCUCCCACAUGCCAUCAAAUAACUGUCUGAUCUUAUCCACUUACACCUCAUUCGACAAAUUGAAAAAUAUUUUGGGUACUUUGAAUUUUACUAUGUCCCAAAACUAAUAAAGUCCCUAAUCUCUGACUGAUUGCAAUUCGACCAAAGUUGAUACUACUUCUCGACAAAUUAAAUUCGUAUUGAUAUCCAUGGUCGUAACUGGCCACUUCAAUUUUUGACAAUAAACUCCUUAUCACAUGAAACUUAUCAUAUUUUUAUAAUUAAUGCUCGAAAAUGUGAAGUAACAUCGUCACAUUUUAAUUUUCUUAAAAUAUCAUAUAUACCCUCAGUUGAUUUGAAAACCGAGGGGUAAAGUAGCGUAUUUUUUAAUAAAUUAUUUAUGACCAAUUUGAUGGGAAAAAAAUCAAAUAAUGAAUCUUUAUCGUUCAUUUAUAAAGUAACAAUGGUCAAGACAUUGUCAAAUCAUCAAUCCACAUGAAACAUUAGUAAUAUGCGUGAAACUCUCACUAGCCAAUUAAAACGUGAAUGCCACAACUAUCCAUCUUGGAUGCAAAGUGUAACACCCACAUAUAAUAUAUAUUUAGAAUACAUAUUAUACAUAAUGUAAAACUGGUACUGAAAUACAUAAGUGCCUAGCGACACAGUGUACAUAUACAAAUACAUGCCCAAAAUAACACUACUGAUCUAGAUCAUUAGACAAUGAUCUCAAAAAUAUCUACACAGCGGAAGAAAAGCCACCAGUCCUCAGGUAAGCAAGACAUCGCUCUAUCUUGCCCUUACCCUUAUCCUGCUCAGAACCACCUGAAAAAUAAUCAACAACAUGGGGUGAGAUAAUAAUCUCAGUGGGUUCCCUAUCUUAUGGGCCCACUCGGCUCUACAAGGUUUCCUAAUCAAUAUUCAACUCAUAUCCAACUCAAGUCAACAAGGGAACGAAGACUUGAGCGAUGGGGAAACUCUCUCGCAAUUGUAUGGCAACAUGCAUUUGAGUUCUCGCAACUCAAACCAGAUCAUUAUUCAGGUCACGACACAUCAAUUCCCGAACGAACUUACGUCUAAGCCAGACCCGGUUCAUGCAUGCUCGUAUGAUUCGACUUUCGCGGUGGAUAUCCGAUUCCCCUAUAGGACUUUAACCCACUAUUGAGAACCAUCACUCGUAUGGGACUUUACCCACUUUGAGUCUCUUUCACCGUAUGGGCCUUAUCCCAUUUUGGUGUCCACCUUUCCCCCAUGUCCGCCAUGGUUAGGGCUCAAACCCAAUUGAGGCUCGAAUCAUUGGUCCCACAUCCCAAUGCUUACACGUCUAAGCAUACCAAUAUAGAUGUGUACCACCACAGAAAACAUACGUUCUGAACACAUGAUCGGUUCUACAAUCAUCGGUUCCAUGAACCAUAACAUAAAUCAUCAAUCAUAGGUGACUUCAUUCACCACAAUACACAACAAUAACAUGACAUGUUCCAUACAAUGCGUCUCGUUCUCAAUCAAGGCAAUAAUUCGUCCAUGACCUCCACAUAAGCGUCGUACGAAUGAAUACCGUAUUCUCGCAUUAUCUAGAUUAUAAACCUCACUCAUGACCUAAUUUCAAUCCUAGGUUAACUCACUAGAUUCAUCAUGUAAUUUUCACCAUUAACAUGUAUUCAACAUAAACAUAGCAUCACAAUUGAUUAAUGGAUGGAAGAAUGCAUUUAGAAACACUUAGGAAAUGGAUUUUGAUGUUUUUAACUUGAGUCAAUCGAUUGGUUGGGGAAGCCCAAUCGAUUGGUUCCACUAACGUUUCUGUUUUUCAAAAUUUGCUGAGUGUCAAUCGAUUGAUCCUGAGUGUCAAUCGAUUGAUCCUGCUGAAAAUUUCCAUUGUUCAUAUACAACAAGUUUGUGCAAUCGAUUGACAUGCAGUGUCAAUCGAUUGGUCCUGUAAAAAUUUCAUUUUUCUGCUAAACCAAAGGCUGUCAAUCGAUUGAUAACAGGGGCCAAUCGAUUGGUUCACUCAUAUUUUCAUUUUUCCACUUCUCAGAACACCAUUUUCCUCUUUAACUCCAUUUUCAAUCAAACCCACACUCCUUCAUCCAACAAAUCCAUCUCACUACAUGCUCAUAUACACAUGUACAACAAGAAUCCCAAGUUCAUAACUAAAAGGAUUUCAACAUCAUAACAUAACCAUAACAAAUCAUAUUAUCAUACCAAUCAUAAAAACACAUCAAGGCACAUGUUCAUGGAGAUCAACAAGAGCAAGAACAUAUUCAUCUUAUAGCAUGGAUUUUCAUGAUUUGUCUAACAUUCUACAAUCCUAACUUUUCUAGAAACCUAAAGUUUCUAACUAGAACCCACCUCAAGAAAUUGAAGAGGAGAAGUUGUGGAAGAUGAAAUGAGGAUGAAGAUGAUGGUGUUGGUUCCAAGUUUUUUCCUUCUUCUUCUUCUUCUCCACUAGCCUUGCUUUUCCUUNCAAAAAUAUACUUGUUGAUAAUUUUUUAUAUUUUGAUUUUUCUGCCGUCCUACACUCAUAUGUGAGAAAUCAAUAAUUUUAUUCUUUAUCAUACUUUUAUUGUUUGUUUUAAUAUGAAUAAUGUAAUAGUGAUGUUAAUCAAUAAGAUUGAAAAGUGUUCAUGUUCUAUCACUAUUUCAAUAUCAAAAGAUAGUGACAAACCUUUGAAAUUUGUGUAAUACUAAUUUGACAUAAAGACAUUUGUUUUCAUUUUAUUGCUUAUGAUUUCCAAAAUAAAAAUAUUUAUAGUUUUUGGAUUCUCUUUUUAUUUUAUAAAAUUGACAAAUAUACUUAGUUUAAGAUGUUGUUUGUUGUCAGAUUAUUUUAUUCAAUGCUGUGUGAAAUUAUAUGAAAAAUAUUCAGAGUUAUUUUUCUUUUUUUUUUUAUAAUUCAAAAAUAUUUCAAGAAAUAAUAAUGUUGUAUAAGAUUUAAGCAUAUAUAUUCUCAAUUAAAAAUAGUUGUUAUGUUAUAUGUUUGGCUUUUGCAAGGUUCGAACUCAUGACCAACAAAAGAUGUUAUUUGCCUUUUGAAAAAGGUGAUUUCUAAUUGCUAAGUAUGUCUGGUCAACUAAUUGUAUGAUGCUUAAUAUUGAGUAUCGCGUGAAUACUCAUAUAUGCCGCUUUAGAUUUAAUAUAUAUGUGGACUUUAGCUGGAAGAGAGCGUUGAACGCAUUCAGGAAGGAGUCUUCAAGGAAGCGGAUAAUGCUUGUGUCAAUUAACUUUAUCUAUAGAAGAUCAUUUGAACGUAUUGUAGAUGAGGAGUUAUUGAGCGUUAAACAUUACGUAUUCUAAGUUAGAAGAAUAUUAAUCAAAUGAGGUGUUGGGAGAAUAUUCAUGACAGAGAAUUUUUAGAGAAAUUCUAUCAUCCCCCAAGUUUGACCUUCGUGCAACGAUUGGGAUCAAGAUCUCAUUUAUCAGUGACCAAACUGUGGGUCUCUUUGAGCAUAUUAGCAAAUUUGCAUAGGCCUAAAAGUUAUCACUUGAUAAUUCCUUACAGUCAAACCUUUGUUGAUACCAAAUAAGAAUAGAGAAGAAUUAUGAGAACAUCCAGAGAAGAGAGUUUCUAAUUCUAGAAUGUCGUAAACCUUUAUGCAAUAUAUGCAAGACUAGGCCACGCAGAGGAUUGUUGUCCGUGAUAUCAUAUAUGCCACGAUCUUCAUCUCCAUGCCAGUCUCGUUUCGAUAAGCUCCACAUGCCAUCAAUAACUGUCGUCUUAUCCCUUACCUAUUCGACAAUUGGAAUAUUUUGGGUACUUUGAAUUUCUAUGUCCAAAACUAAUAAAGUCCUAACUCUUGACUGAUUGCAAUUCGAACAAUGUUCUACUCUUCUCGGACAAAUUAAUUCGUAUUGUCUCAUGGGCGUAACUGGCCACUUCAAUUGUGACAAUAAACUCCUUAUCAAAGAAACUUUUAUUUUUAUAUUAAUGCUCGAAAUGUGAAGUACAUCCUUACUUUAUUUUUUUAAACUUAUCUUCCCUUAUUGACUGGAAGACGGGUUAAAGUACUAUUUUUUAAUAAAUUUUUAUGACCAAUUUGAUGGGAAAAUCAAAUAGAAUCUUUAUAUUCAUUUAUAAAGUACAUGGUCAAGACUUGUCAAAUCAUCAAUCCAUGACAUUAGUAGAUAUGCGUUGAAACUUAUGGCCCCCCCCCUCUAUUUAAUGUGACUGCCACCCUAUCCUCUGAACAAGUGCCUGAAUUUCAACUUAAGAUGUUGAAAUUAUGAUAUGAUGAUAAUGAAAGCAUGAGUAUAAAAAUAUUUCAAGGUUGGUUUCUUAAUGUAAUCUUUUCUCGAGUAAUUCCUUGUUAAAAAUGUUUAAUGUUAGUUAAGAAAGCAUGAAAUGAACUUACUAAUCUCAAUUGUAGUUAUAACAAGUAAAAUGUUUAAUAUUGUUGGUGUUGAAAUUUAGUAGUUAACGAUUCUAAAAUGUUUAAUAUUGUUGAUGUUGUUGAAAUUUAGUAGUUAACGAUUCUAUUGAUUUUGUUUAUUUGUUGUUUUUUGUUGUUGUUGUUUUUUGUUUUGUUGUUGUUUUUGAGAUUUAAUGUUUAAAUAUUCCACGAACUUUGUUGUUGUUGUUGAGAUUUAAUAUUUAAAAAUUCAAUUGAUGUGUUUGUUGUUGUUAUUGGUGUUAAUGUUGUUGAUGAUGAGGAAGAUUUAGAAUUUUCCAACAAAUUUGAUGCUUUGCAGAUUAAAACGAAAAAAAAUCAAUUUAAAACUAAAAUUUUGUAAACAGGACUUUACCCCUCGGUUAUUGUUAAAAGUCGAGGUAAAAAGUAGCAUUGUUUUAAAAAUCCAAAAAAUGUAGUUGUAAUGAAUCGAACUUGUUACCAGUGCCACUUUUCCCUUUGGUUAUUAAAAAACUGAUGGAUAAAGUGACAUUUUUUCAUGUCGCUUUUUGUUACCUCAUAUGUGUAGCCGAGGUUAUAUAACCUUCGCGACCGAGAUGAAUGUGGUUAUUUGUAGUAGGGAUGUGUCAGAGAGUACUAAUUUUUUCCUUCUAUUGGCACAGUUUUAACAUGUAGCCCAUAAUAAAUCGUAGCUCAAAUUUGAGAAUAAACUAGAUAAGAACCCGCACGAUGCGCGGUUGUAAAUUAAUUUUUAUUUGAUUAAUAUUGAAUUUAAAUUAUAUUAUUUUUAAAAAAAAAUAUAUGGUUGAAGAUUUAUAUUAUAACAUCUUAUUAUGAAUUAUAAUAUAGAAAACAAUACAAAUUAAUCAAUAAUAAAAAUGAAUAUUUUACUUGAAAGAAAAAAUAUAUGUUUGUAAUUUGAUUCUUAUAUCUAGAAUUUAGUUUUUGCAAAUUUUAAUAAUUCUAAAAGAUACUACUUGUGAUCAUUUUUUAUAUUUUGAUUCUCAUUUCUCUCAGACACUCAUAUGUGAGAAAUCAAUAAUGUUAUUCCAAAAUAAUCUAACAACCCAUUUUCAGUAAUUGCGAAAGAUGUGGUUAAAGAGUUAUAUUAUAAUAUCUUAUUAUGAAUUAUAAUAUAGACAACAAUAUGAAUUAAUCAACAACAAAAAUGAACAUUUUACUUGAAAGAAAAAUAUAUGUUUGUAAGGUGACAGUGAUAUCUAGAAUUUAGUUUUUGCAAAUUUUAAUAACUCUAAAAAAUAAUACUUAUGAUAAUUUUUUAUAUUUUGAUUUUCAUGCCUGUCUAACACUCAUAUGUGAGAAAUCAAUAAUUUUAUUCUUUAUCAAUACUUUAUUUGUUUGUUUUAAUAUGAAUAAUGUAAUAGUGAUGUUUAUCAAUAAGAUUGAAAAGUGUUACAUGUUCUAUCAUAUUUCAAUAUCAAUAAAUAGUGACAAACCUUUGAAAUUUGUGUAAUACCUAAUUUGACAUUAAAGACAUUUGUUUUAACUUUUAUUUGCUAUGAUUUCAACAAAAUCAAAAAUAUUUAAUAGUUUUUGGAUUCUCUUUUAUUUUUAAAAUUUGAGCAAAUAUACUUAGUUGAAGUAAUACAACCGAACAGUCUAAUAAAAUAAGUUUUACUCACACUUUAAUAUUUGAAAAAAUAUAUCAGAGUUAUUUUUCUCUUCUUUUUUUAUAAUUCAAAAAUUAUUUCAAGAAAAAUAAUAAUGUUGUAUAAGAUUUAAGCAAAUAAUAUAUAUCUCAAUUAAAAAAUAGUUGUUAUGUUAAUAUGUUGUUGCUUUUGCCAAGGUUCGAACUCAUGACCACAACAAAAGAUGUACUUUGACCUUUUGAAAAAGGUGAAUUUCUAAGUUGCCACAUAAGAAUGAUGAUGACGUGUAAAAUAUUGAGUAUGUGGCAUAUGAUUUGUCGUGAUAUAACUUGCCGCUUUAGAUUUAAUAUAUUAUGUGAGCUAAGACUGGCAAAGAAGCGUUGAACGCAUUGCAGAAGGAGUUUCAAGGAAGCGAUAAGGUGUGUGUCAUUAAACUUCAAUCUAUAAGAAGACAUUUUGAACUAUUGUAGAUGAAGGAGUUUGAGCCAGUUAAAAAUUACUAUUCUAAAGUUAAAGAAAUAAAUAAUCAAAUGAGAGUGUUGGGAAGAAUAUUCAUGACAAGAAUUUUUUUGAGAAAAUUCUAAUUACUAUGCCCCCAAAGUUUGACCCUCUCGUGGAAACGAUUGAGGAAAUCAAAGAUCUCUCCACUUUAUCAGUGACAAAACUAGUGGGCUCUUUUGAAGCAUAUGAGCAAAUAUUGCAUAGGCAUAAAGAAGAUACACUUGAAAAUUCCUUACUUUGAAUACCAAAAAUAAAGAAAAUAGAGGAAAGAAAAAUUAUGGAGAAACAUCCGAAUUUCUAGAAAUUUACAUGCGAAUAAGCCAGAUAAAAACACUUCAUGUAAUAUAUGCAAAAGACUAGGCCACGCAGAGGAAAAUUGUUGGUACCGUAAUAUGCAAAAUAUGCCACAUCUUCAUCUCCACGCAACCAUCAUUUUCGAUAAGCUCCCACAUGCCAUCAAAUAACAGUCUGAUCUUAUCCACUUACACUUCAUUCGACAACUUCGAAAAUAUUUUGGGCACUUUGAAUUUCACUAAGUCCCAAAAAUAAUAAACUCCCUAGUCUCUGACUGAUUGCAAUUCGACCAAAGUUGAUACUACUUCUCGACAAACUAAACUCGUAUUGAUCUCCAUGGUCGUAACUGGCCACUUAAAUUUUUGACAAUAAACUCCUUAUCACAUGAAACUUAUCAUAUUUUCAUAAUUAAUGCUCGAAAAUGUGAGGUAACAACAUCACAUUUUAAUUUUUUUAAAAUAUCAUAUAUUCCCUCAGUUGAGCAGUAAACCGAGGGGUAAAGUAGCGUAUUUUUUAAUAAAUUAUUUAUGACCAAUUUGAUGGAAAAAAAAAUCAAAUAACGAAUCUUUAUCGUUCAUUUAUAAAAUAACAAUGGUCAAGACAUUGUCAAAUCAUCAAUCCACAUGAAACAUUAGUGAUAUGCGUGAAACUCUCACUAGCCAAUUAAAACGUGAAUGCCACAACUAUCUAUCUUGGAUGCAGUUGAAUUAACGUAAGAUGUUGAAUUAAUGUAUGAAGCAUGAGUAUAAAAAUAUUUCAAGGUUGGUUUCUUAAUGUAAUCUUUUCUCGAGUAAUUCCUUGUUAAAAAUGUUUAAUGUUAGUUAAGAAAGCAUGAAAUGAACUUACUAAUCUUAGUUGUAGUUGUAACAAGUAAAAUGUUUAAUAUUGUUGGUGUUGUUGUUGAAAUUUAGUAGUUAACGAUUCUAAAAUGUUUAAUAUUGUUGUUGUUGUUGUUGUUGAAAUUUAGUAGUUAACGAUUCUAUUGAUUUUGUUUAUUUGUUGUUGUUUUUUUUGUUGUUUUUUGAGAUUUAAUGUUUAAAUAUUCCACGAACUUUGUUGUUGUUGUUGUUUUUGUUGUUGAGAUUUAAUAUUUAAAAAUUCUAUUGAUUUUGUGUUUGUUGUUGUUAUUGGUUUUAAAGUUGUUGAUAAUGAGGAAGAUUUAGAAUUUGCCAACAAAUUUGAUGCUUUGCAGAUUAAAACGAAAAAAAAUCGAGUUAAAACUAAAAUUUUGUAAACAGGACUUUACCCCUCGGUUAUUGUUAAAAAUCUAGGUAAAAAGUAGCACUGUUUUAAAAAUCCAAAAAAUGUAGUUGUAAGGCAUCGAACUUGUUACCAGUGCCACUUUUCCCUUCGGUUAUUAAAAAACUGAGGGAUAAAGUUGCAGGUUUUCAUGUCGCUUUUCGUUACCUCAUAUGUGUAGUCGAGGUUAUAUACCCUUCGCAACCGAGAUGAAUGUGGUUAUUUGUAGUAGGGAUGUGCGGAAGAGUACCAAUUUUUUCCUUCUAUUGACAUAAUUUUAACAUGUAGCCAAUAAUAAAUCGAAGCUCAAAUUUGAGUAUAAACUAGAUAAAAACCUGCGCGAUGUGUGGGUUAGAAUUAACUUUUAUUUGAUUAAUAUUGAAUUUAAAUUAUAUUAUUUUUUUUUUAAAAAUAUGGCUGACGAUUUAUAUUAUAACAUCUUAUUAUGAAAUAUAAUAUAGACAACAAUACAAAUUAAUCAAUAAUAAAAAUGAAUAUUUUACUUGAAAGAAAAAAUAUAUGUUUGUAAUUUGACUGUUAUAUCUAGAAUUUAGUUUUGGGAAAUUUUAAUAAUUCUAAAAGAUACUACUUGUGAUCAUUCUAAAAUGUUUAAUAUUGUUGUUGUUGUUGUUGUUGAAAAUUAGUAGUUAAUGAUUCUAUUGAUUUGGUUUAUUUGUUGUUGUUUUUGUUGUUGUUGUGGUUGUUGUUGUUGUUUUUGAGAUUUAAUGUUUAAAUAUUCCAUGAACUUUGUUGCUGUUUUUGUUGUUGAGAUUUAAUAUUUAAAGAUUCUAUUGAUUUUGUGUUUGUUGUUGUUAUUGGUGUUAAUGUUGUUGAUAAUGAGGAAGAUUUAGAAUUUGCCAACAAACUUGAUGCUUUGCAGAUUAAAACGAAAAAAAAUCAAGUUAAAAUUAAAAUUUUGUAAACAGGACUUUACCCCAUAUUUCCUUAAACACCUAAAUUUCUAUUAAUUUAGGUUAACUGAGUUCCUAUGUGUAAUAUCCCAUAACUGAGUUCCUAUUAUCAAUUGUAAAAAUUAGAGCUCCUAUGUGCUCUAAGUGUUAUCAAUUGGGACCAAUAGAGUAACCAGUGAACUCUGAAGGGAUUAAUUAUUAAUAAAGAGACAGACCAAUAUUAAUAAGUACGAGAGAGGAUAUUUUCGGUAACAUUAAUAAUUAGUCAAUUGGUACUGGUAGAUGAAAUAUCAAUUGAGAUAUUUAUGUUACUACUUAAUAUUAUAUAUUAUAUAUAUUAUAUAGUAUAUGUAUUGUGUGGUUAGAAAGAAAGAAAAGAAGAAGUGGAUAAGAAGAGAGGUGGUAGGUAGGAUAGAAGAAGAGAGUUAUCAGAAAGAAAAGAAAGAAAGGGAAGAAGAGAGAAAGAGGAAAAAGAGGAAGGAAGAAGAAGAGGAAGCCAUGGAACCACCAACAUCAUGUCAUCUUCAUCAUCAUCAUCACCACUUUCUACUCACCAUCUUCACCAUCUCCAUGUGUUCAAGGUGAGUUCUUAGAUAGAUUUAGCCUUUGGGGGAAAAUAACCUAUGUUGGGGGUUAGGAUUUGUGUGAAUUUGUGAUGAACUUGUUGUGUUCAUACUCCUCAUCCAUGCUAUGUGUUGAUAUCAUGUUGUUGUUGUUGAAAUUGUGAUACUUGGGUGUUUAAUUUUGAUGUGUAGGGGUUAGGAUUUGUGUGAAUUUGUGAUGAACUUGUUGUGUUCAUACUCCUCAUCCAUGCUAUGUGUUGAUAUCAUGUUGUUGUUGUUGAAAUUGUGAUACUUGGGUGUUUAAUUUUGAUGUGUUUUGUUGUUGAAAUUAUGGAGGUUAAUCACAUGAAUUCAUAACAAUAUAAGUUAUUCAUGAAAUAUUCCAAGAAUCAUGAGUUAACCAUGUUUUCUAUGAUUAUGGUGUUAUUGUAAUUGAACAUGGUUGUUGAGGUUGUUAAGAACAUGUGUUUAUGAGGUUGAGGAAUCCUUGAGUGUUGGUUGUUGUUGAAAAAUCAUGUUAUGUGAAAAUGGUAGGUAAAAAUGGUAGAUGGAAAGGAAAAUAAAAUAGGAGUUAUUUGAUGAAUUAAAAUAUAUCACCAAUGGGGUUCGAACCUGGGACCUUCUUGAAAUUGUACAAGCCUUACCACUAGGCCAAAGAUGUUGUUGUCAAAUAUUUAUGCAAUGAAUAAAUAUUAAUCUCAAUCUUGAUUAAGAUAGAUUAAUGAAUUAAUUGAGUGGUAUAACUUCGUUUUGGACACGGACGAAUGCGUUAGAAGGAUAAUGUAAAGGGCUAUUGUUAUUGUUCCAUGUUAUAAAAUAUCACGUGAUUGAUAAAUGCUAUGAAAUAUAUUAUGAUGAAUGUUAAACAUUGUUGAUAUGUUUGAUUGUGAAAUAACAUGAUUAAAGACCUUACAAAGAUGAGUGAGGAAACCUAGGAGAAUAACUUGAUUAAUAACUUAGAAAGAUGAUCUAGGUUAUGGAACAUGUGUGAUACAUGUAUGAGAAUACGAUAUUCAUUCGUACGACGCUUAUGUGGAGGUCAUGGACGAAUUGUUGCCAUGAUUGAGAAUGAGACGCAUUGUAUGGAACAUGCCAUGUUAUUAUUUGUGUAUUAUGGUGAAUGAAGUCACCUAUGUUUGAUGAAUUUGUUAUGGUUCGUGGAACCGAUGAUUAUGGAACCGAUCAUAUAUUCAGAAUGUGUGUUUUCUGUGGUGGUACACAUCUCUAUUGGUAUGCUUAGAUGAGUAAGCAUUAGGAUGUGGGACCAAUGAUUCGAGCCUCAAUUGGGUUUGAGCCCCAACCAUGGUGGACAUAGGGGAAAGGUGGACACCAAAGUGGGAUAAGGACCAUACGGUGAAAGAGACUCAAAGUGGGUAAAGUCCCAUACGAGUGAUGGUUCUUAAAAGUGGGUUUGAGUCCCAUAGGGGAACCGGAUAUCCACCGCGAAAGUCGAAUCAUACGAGCAUGCAUGAAAGUGGGUAAAGUCCCAUACGAGUGAUGGUUCUUAAAAGUGGGUUUGAGUCCCAUAGGGGAACCGGAUAUCCACCGCGAAAGUCGAAUCAUACGAGCAUGCAUGAACCGGGCCUGGCUUAGACGUAAGUGCAUACGUGAAUUGAUGCGUCGUGAUCUGAAUAAUGAUCGUGGUUGAGUUAUGAGAACUCAGAUGCAUGUUGCCAUACAAUUGCGAGAUAGUUUCCCCAUCGCUCAAGUCUUCGUUCCUUUGUUGACUUGAGUUGGAUAUGAGUUGAAUAUUGACUAGAAAACCCUGUAGAGCCGAGUGGACCCAUAGGAUAGGAGAACUCACUGAGAUUAUUAUCUCAUCCCAUUAUUGUUUUUAUUUUUCAGCUAAUCCUUACACGUUGAAAUCUUGAGGAGCUGUUUAUGGAUGUUUCAAGGGAUACUGUUUAUCAUGAUCUUCCGCUGUGGAGUUGUGUGCAAUGAAGAUAUUGCACAUAGUUCUUAGAUUUUUAUUGUUUAGGCAUUAUUGUAUAUAUAUAUAUAUAUAUAUAUUAUACGGGUUGUUACACUAUGUGCUCUAAAAGUUGCCAAUUGGGAUAAAUAGAGCAAAUAGUGAGUCCAGGUUGACUUAAUUAAUAUUAUUUGGAACUGACCUUUUAUUAAUAGGGACAUUUUGGUAACACUAAUAAUGGGUCAAUAGCUCUGGUAGAACAAAUAUUAUAAGUUUGGUGCCACUUGGGAUAUUUGUUGCUACUAGAAACCACUUACUAACCACAUGUUUGUAUUAGCCACUUGCAUUUGGACUUUGAAUAACUCAUCACCACAUUUUCUACCUACCAUAAGCCACUUCAUUUGUUCUAUGUAUCAGAAAGUAUAGAAAGAUAGAGGAAGCUCAAGAGAAGAAGGGAAAGCAAGGCUAGUAGAGAAGAAGAAGAAGAAGGAAAACUUGGAACCAACACCAUCAUCUUCAUCCUCAUCUCAUCUUCAACAACUUCUCCUCUUCAAUUUCUUGAGGUGGGUUCUAGUUAGAAACUCUAGGUUUCUAGAAAAGUUAGGGUUGUUAGAACUUUAGAAAAAUCCAUGAUAACCAUGGCUAUACUAAUGAAUAUGUUCUUCGGCUUCUUAUUGACUUUCCAUGAACAUGUGCUUUGUUGUGUUCUUAUAUUGGUUACGAUAACAUGAUUUGUUAUGGUUGUGGUGGAAUAAUUGGUUGUGAUUAUGACCUUGAAAAUCCUUGUGGUUGUGAGCUUGAAAUACUUGAUUUAUAUGUGUAUGAGAACAUUUAAUAUGAUGGGUUGUUGUUGGAAGAAGUAGUGGUAAUUUGUAGAAAUGGUAGAACAGAGGAAAAUGGGGUCUGUGAAGUGAAAUGAGAAAAUGUGAGUGGAUCAAUCGAUUGGCCUCUGUCAACCAAUGGAUUGACAACCUUUGGUUUAGCAGAAAUAUGAAAUUUUUACAGGACCAAUCGAUUGACACUGCAUGUCAAUCGAUUUCACAAACUUGAUGUAUAUGAACAGUGGAAAUUUUUAACAUGACCAAUCGAUUGACACUUAGGAUCAAUUGAUUGACACUCAGCAAAUUUUGAAAAAACAGAAAUGUGAGAGUAAUAAAUCAAUUGGGCUUCCCCAACCAAUCGAUUGACUCAAGUUAAAAACUUCAAAAUCCAUUUCUUAAGUGUUUUUAAAUGCAUUCUUCCAACCAUUAAUCAUUUGUGAUGCCAUGCUUAAGUUGAAUACAUGUAAAUAGUGAGAAUUACAUGAUGAAUAUAGUAAGUUAACCUAGGAUUGGUAUUAGGUCUUGAGUGAGGUUUAUGACUUAGAUAACAUUGAAUGAUGGUAUUCAUUCAAACGGUGCUUAUGUGGAGGUCGUGUACGAAUUGUUGCCAUGAUUGAGAAUGAGACACAUUGUAUGGAACAUGCUAUGUUAUAUUUGUGUAUUGUGGUGAAUGAAGUCACCUGUGCUUAAUGAAUUUUGUUAUGGUUCGUGGAACCGAUGAUUGUAGAACCGAUCAUGUAUUCAGAUGGUGUAUUUUAUGUGACGGUGCACAUCUCUAUUGGUAUGCUUAGAUGUGUAAGCAUUGGGAUGUGAGACCAAUGAUUCGAGCCUCAUUUGGGUUUGAGCCCCAACCAUGGUGGACAUGGGGGAAAGGUGGACACCUAGGUGACAUGGAGGAAAGGUGGACACCUAGGUGGGUUGGAGUCCCAUACGGUGAAAGAUACCAUAGGUGGGUUAGAGUCCCUUAGGGUGAAGGUCGCUUGAACUGGGGAUUAAGCCUCAUAGAAGACUCGAUACCCACCACGAAAGUCGAAUCAUACGAGCAUGCAUGAACCGGGCCUGACUUAGACUUAAGCCUGUUCGGGAAUUGAUGCGUCAUGAUCUGAAUACUGAUCGUGGUUAAGUUACGAGAACUCAGAUGCAUGUUGCCAUACAAUUGCGAGUUAGUUCCCCAUCGCUCAAGUCUUCGUUCCCUUGUUGACUUGAGUUGGAUAUGAGUUGAAUACUAAUUAGAAAACCCUGUAGAGUCGAGUGGACCCAUAAGAUAGGGAACCCACUGAGAUUAUUAUCUCACCCCAUGUUGUUGAUUAUUUUUUUCAGGUGGUUCUGAGCAGGAUAAGGGUAAGGGAAAGAUAGAGUGAUGUCUUGCUUACUUGAGGACUGGUGGCUUUUCUUCUGCUGUGUAGAUAUUUUUGAGAUCAUUGUCUAAUGAUCUAGAUCUGGGCAUGUAUUUGUAUAUGUACACUGUGCUGCUAGGCACUUAUGUAUUUCAGUGCUGUAGCACCUCAAAUUUGCACCCUGCCAUUGUUUACAUUCAUUUCAUAUUAGGUCAUAGCAUUAACAAUGUCCACUGCAUAACAUUGCAUUGUCCAUUUGCCCAAGUGCAAGCUCAAUUGAUGGAUUGGGUCAGACUGAUCAGGAGAAUCAGUCAAUCAAACAAGUGAGUGCCAUUUNGCGCGCGCUCCCAACAAAUUUCAACACUUGUCAUGAUUAUUCAUUCCUAGGACGCUACACACUCGUAUAUUAUCUACUACGUAGUCCUAACAUAAAUACACCCUUACGUCCAUAGUACAUUAAGGUAUCAUCAUACGAGUAAUAUUAAUAUAUAUACUAUCACUACAUUAUACUACGGAUAUUAUUACGGGUCGUUCCGCGGCCCUCUACACUAUUGUGCUCUAGAAUUAGCCCAAUUGGGAUAGAUAGUAGAGGCAAACAUGCAAUCCCACCGCUCCACGCCUGAGUCCGCCAGCCAGCGCUCUUCUUGACUAAUUAUAUGAUUUGGAACUUACCUUUUAUUAAUAGCGGACAUUUUGGUAACACAAUAAUGGGUCAAUAGCUCUGGGUAGAACAAUAUUAUAAGUUUGGUGUCACUUGGGAUAUUUUUGCUACUAGAAACCACUUACUAACCACAUGUUUGUAUUAGCCACUUGCAUUUGGACUUUGAAUAACUCCAUCACCCACAUUCUACCUACCAUAAGCCACUUCAUUGUUUCCUAUGUAUCAAGAAAGGAUAGAAAGAUAGAGGAAGCUCAAGAGCAAGAAGGAAGCAAGGCUAGUAGAGAGAAGAAGAAGAAGAGAAAACUUGGAACCACACCAUCAUCUUCAUCCUCAGCUCUUUCAACAACUUCUCCUCUUCAAUUUCUUGAGGUGGUUCUAGUUAGAAACUCUAGGUUUCUAGAAAAGUAGGGUUGGCUUAGAAUCUUUAAAAUCAUGAUAAUCCAUGCUAUUUAAUGAAUAUGUUCUUGCUCUUAUUGACUUCCAUGAACAUGUGCUGUUGUGUCUUUAUUGGUACGAUAACAUGAUUGUUGAGGUUGGCGUGGAUAACAAAAAUAAUUGGUUGUGAUUAUGACUUGAAAAUCCUUGUGGUUGUGAGCUUGAAUACUUGAUUUAUAUGUGUAUUAGACAUUUAAUAUGAUGGUCUCGUUGUUGAGAAGAAGUAGUGGUAAUUUGCUAGAAAUGGCGUAGAACAGAGCGAAAUCGGGUCGUGUGAGAGUGAAAUGAGAAAAUGGAGGGACUCAAUCGAGUGGGCUUCUUGUACAACGCAUGGAUUGACACUCUUGGUUUAGCAGAAAUAUGAUAUUUUAACCAGGACAACGGAUUGACAUUCGAGUGUCAAUCGAUUUCACUAAACUUGCAUGUAUAUGCAACAGUCGGAACAUCUUACCUCUUAACCAUGACCAACUCCCUGUUACCAUAAUUGACAUUAGGGAUUGACGAACUCCAGCAAAUUUUGAAAAAAACAGCACAAUCUGAGCAGUAAUAACAUCAAUUCUGGGCCUUCCCCAACCAAGUCGAUUGACUCAAGUUAAAACUUCAAAACCUCCAUUUCUUAAGUGUUUAACAUGCUUCUCCUCCAACACGCUUAAUCAUUCCUGUGACGCCAUGUUGUUAAGUUUGCCUAAUACAGUGUAAUAGUGAGACAUUACUGAUGGAUGGACUAAGCUAAAGUCAUUAACACCAGGAUGUGGUAUGUUAAAGGCUCUCUGGUAGUGAGGCUUUCUAUUGACUUAGAUAAAUUGAAUGCUGGUAUUCAUUCAAACAGUGCUUCUAAUGUGCGAAGUCGGUACGAAUUGUUGCCUCAUAAUUCGAAGAAGAGACAAUUGUAUGAACAUGCUAUGUUAUAUAUUGAUGUAUGUGUGGUGAAUGAAGUCACCUGUGCUUAAUAAUUUGUUCAUGGUGAUGGGCGUUGACGAUGGAUUGUAGAACCGAUGCCAGUCGAUUCAGAUGUGGUGCUGAUUUUAUGUGACGCUGCACAUUCUAUGGUAAUGCUUAGAUGUGUAAGAUUCGGGAUUGAGAGCAUCAUCUUUCGAGCCUCAGUUUGGUUUGAGCCGGCCAAGCCAUGCGUGGACAUGGGGAAACGGGACACCUAGGGUCGACCAUGAAAAGGUUGGGACACUAGGUGCUUUGGCAAGUCCCCCCACUCACGGCUGUUGUCGUGGCUUAAACAUCACAUGUUUGUCUGUUUGAAACAGAUACAUAGGGUGGGGUUUAGAUUAGGUCCUUCUUAGGGUUGAGGGUCCAUAGAACGGCGCUGUGUGGGUUAGACCUCACUCACGAUUAGACUCCGUGAUUACCGCACAUCGGAAAGUCGCCAGCACUCACUCUCCACUAACCCCAUCACUGCCAUGAAACGCGGCCCUACUUAACUUACCUGUCGCUCGUCCUGGUUCCGGAAUAUUGAUCGUCCAUGAUCUGAAUGACUGCAUCUACCCCGACGUGGUGAAGGUUGACGAGAACUCAGAUGCACUGUUGGCCAUACUCAAUGCCGAUCGUUCGAUUCCCACCUUUCGCCUCACUCCUUCGUUUCCUUUUUGACUUAUUCCUUGGCGAUCCCCAUACUGAGUUUGACUUAUACUAUUACGCCAAACCCCUUAGGAGCGACUGGAUGGACCCAUCAAGCAAGGCAAGCCCAGCCCACUUGAGAUUAUUAUCUCUGACCCCAUUUCGUGAUUAUUUUCCUAUCUCUAUCAUCCGCGUCGGCUUUCUCCUUCAGUCACCCUACUCUAACUCUAUUGUCCUCAUCAUUCCGUGAACAGGUAAGGGAGAAAAUAGAGUCCCGUCCAUGCUCGGUAGCACAGUUCUCUGCCCAAGUCUUUAGUCAUCUUCGCUACCCGCCACUAUGUGCAGGGGCGCCACGGCCACUGCGGCUGGCUGCUCUCUUUCCUGGCGCGCUCUCUGUAGUCAGUCUCAUCGACUCGCUUUUUAGAGGCACCCACCCAUUCCACGAUUCCCACCGCGCCCCUCGGAAGGAAUCAUUCUGCAUCAUUGUUUUAUAUUGUAGUACUAGCACCUGGGUCCGUGUAUUGCUUAUAUGCUAGGCAUGGCUAAAAUGUUGACUGCUACGCGCCCCCGGGUCACUCUACCGUGGUAUUUCAGUGCGUAUUUCAGUAUGCGCACUUAAAUACUUUGCCGCACCGGCCUCGCCAUCACUUGUUUACAUUCAUCUUCAUAAUCGUCCGUUCAGUCGAAUGAGCUGCCUCAUUACACGAAGUCACCGCCCACACACUCAUUGUCUGUUGGCUCUCAAGUGCAAGCUUUCACAUUCCUUCCACUGGUGGGCGAUGCCUCGUCAGACUGCUUCCAGCCGUGAGAAUCACGUCAGUCAAACAACCUUCGAGUGCCCUUUUUAAUCGCACCCUCGCUGCCGUAAGCGGGUCAUUAUCAGGCUUCACGGUUGUCUCCUUUAACGUGAAGCGGGGGGUCAUUUGCAAGGGUGUCCUGGCUUUGCCAAAGAAAUGGACUCGUGCUCAGAAAGUCGAGCCAGGCAGCAUUUUUAUGGUCACAGAAAUCCCUUAGAGCGCAAAGCUCAACGCUCGGUUCGGUGUGCUCAACGUUGCCCCGCGAUCUUAUCGGAGACGAAGCACUUCCGCUGGGCCCAACGGCUGGGGCGGAAAUGGCGGGCUCUCAUUGCAAACCGCCCUUCAUGUCCAUACAUGUGCUCAUUUGACAUAGUCGAAAGCACCACAUGUUGCCACGCCAAGCACCUCUUGCACGUUCACCUCACCUAAGAAUGAAGUUCCUAACCAACAUUGUGGCAGGAAGCCCUUGAUUCUAUUGCCGCGCUCCACUCUCACAGGACGCUGUUCCCAGUACCUCUCCAUACGAUAUUCUAUGGAUGCCUGGCCCAAAAAUCCGGCGAAACUUUUCUCCUCGCAAAAUACUUCAUCAUUACAACAGCUUCCGAUAAUGCGAAUUUUUGCCAAGCAUGAAAAUGUGGUAAAUCCACCGGUGUUCGUCACGCUCAUUCCAAAAAGUCGAAAGAAUCCGAACGAAUCCCAUCGCGGCGCCCUGAUGGUUCCGGAGGCGAAAAUUAUGGCUCGAUACUUCAGAAAUCACCCAUAAAUCAGACCAUAACUUCCGACAUGCCUCUUGUCCCAAAUUGCACUACAGUUCUUUGUACUAUGCACGAAACUCCCGAUUUGGACAUGCUCACUCAUUCAAUAUGAUGCCCAUAAUGAUUGUUCGCACAAGCGGGGCCUCGAAGCGCAAAACGUCCGAUUUUGAAGUGAACUAAUUAAAAGUGAGGGGCAAAAUGGUCCAAAAUGCAAAGUAUGAAGAAUUUGAAGAUGACACCAAUGCCAUUAGCUUCCAAAUGAUAUUUGCAACUUGUUCAAAGUGAGAAAUUACUGCUGCAAGGUCUCUAACCAUUCAAGGGCAAAAAAGGCCAAAUGCACAUAAGCCAUUUUCACUAAUCACCCUUUUUCACUAAUCUUGAUUAAUUGGAGGAUUAGGAGCACCAUAUAUAUACUUAAUUCUAACAGAAUCUGCAGGAACUAAUCACAUUUCACAAAUUCAAGAGAAAAUCUCAAGAAAAUUUUCACCAUUCUCUCACUUUUUCACUUUGAGCUUUCAUCCUUUUUUCACCAAUUCAUCCACAAUUCUGCAAGUUUUGUGCGAAUUCUUGGUGAAUCCAUUAUCUAUACUUGUUGUUGAAGUUCUGUUUUCAGGUGUUGGAUCAAGAAGCAUUGAGGAUUCCAACUGUUGAAGCAACCUCCAUUUCCAUGGCAGUUAGAGAAAUCCGUUGAUUCAAGCGCGUUCGAGCUGGAUUAGCAUCAUCAUUCACCUUCCACAACAAUAUUCUUCAUCUGUUUUCGCCAUUCAAGCCUCAAAUCGCGCGGUUUCGCUACUGCUUGAAGUUCUUCCAAUUUAAAGCAAGUAGUGCAUUUCACGAAUUGCGUUGUGGUUAUUGUAGAAUGCUGUUUGUAGAUCACGUAGCAAGUUGUGGAUUGUAAAAUUGUUGAGAAUUGCCUGAGUUAUUGUCGUUCGAAAUUCAUACGCGAUUUCUAUUUUCCAUCGAUUCGCUUCACUCAUUAACUUCUGGACGAAAUCACCACCACAUUCGUGAUCCUGAGUUGACGCCGGUUCUAACGGUGUAUCGUUUAUGCAUUUUCGUUAGAAUUCGGUCACUACCUAAUUUGCAGAUGAAGAACUCAAGAACCGCGAUGAAGAACAUAAGAAUUCUGGAAAUCCUUCGUUUUGAUCCUUCAUUCACGCGACUUCCAUUAGAUUUGUGUUUUUGGCGCGCCCGAGCGAAUCAAAUAGCGCCACCUCAUUUAAGUUGAACGGCUGCGUUUUGGCCUUGGCUACGUUAAUUACAGAUCUGCCAUUUUCAUUCAUAAUUAAUUAAUAAAAUCCAUAUUAAAUCAAAUAAAUAUUUCAAUAAAUCUUCAAAUCUUCAAAAAAUCAUAAAAUGAUCAAUUUUCAUCCAAAUAAUUUGAGACUUUUUUUUGAUAAUCUCCUUUUUUAAUCUAGUAUUUUUUAGACAUAAAAAUUAAAGUUGUGCUUGGUAAAUAUUUAAUUGGCAUAGGGAUGUUCAUCAUGUGUGCUAUUUUGAUGUGUUUUACCAUUUUUAUCAUAAAAUGACCAUGCCUUAUCCAAAUGAAUUGAAAUUUUAGAGGAUGAUUCUUGACACAUUUCUGGAGAUUUUGACAUAUGAUUUGUAAUUUUUGGACCUCUGGUUUGCUAGAUGUGAUUAAUUCUUUUUGAGUGUGACAACAUGUGUCGCACUUUGAUAUGCUGAGUUCAUGUAUUAUUUUUCCCUGCUUCCCUUUGACCUAUGGCCUUGAUUUUUUGCAUGAGAUACCUUCGACAUGUUAACUUUCAAUAUGAAUUUUUGUGGAUUUUAAUAAUCCAUUUUCUAAUUAAUUUGGAAUUUUGUUUGCUGCUUAGCAUCUUUAGGGCUUUGCUUGUGUAACAUUUUUUCCUAUGUUGCCAAAUCCUCAUCCCUAACCCUAUGAGUAUGAAAUUUGGUGAAGUAGUUCCUGAUAUGUGUAGCUUACAUUUGGCUUUGGUCCUACUAAUUUCCCAUUUAAUAUCACUGUUUACCAUUUGAUUGAAGUUAGUGUACAUGUUGUGAUCUAUUUUGGUUGUGUUUUUGCAUGCCUUAACAUGUUGAUUUAAUUGACAUAGUUCCACUAGUCCAAAUGGCAUAAAAAUUGACAUGUAGCUUGUUGAAUGUCCUCUGUUUAUGAUAUAAUUUUUGUGGAAUUUUCUAUGCUGUUUUGGUAUUUUUUUGGAUGUAAUCAUUCUGGUUGUCCAUAUGUGAUUCUACAUUGCUUACUUUGCCUUAAUUUGUGCAUAAAAUGAAAUUGGUGUAUGGUUUGGAUAUGAGACCAAUUGGGAUCCCUUUGUAAUUGAAUUAUCUUGGUUUUGAUUAUGAUUUGCUUGCUGUUUUAGGAUUUUUCCAUCCUUUGGACCCUAGGCUUGGCCUAGUGGUCUAGUUACUUAUGUUUGAGCUUGACUUUGACUUUUCAGGUUAAAAAGCUAGUGCCUUAAGGAGGUUGAUGCAUAAUUGAGUUGUUUCCUUUGAUCAUUGUAUACUAAUUUGUUUGUGUUGUAGGGUGCUUGGUUCACAUGGACUUGGUGCUAUGCACCUCAUUGUUUGAUUGUUGAUUGAUUCUUAUUGUUGUUGUUUUGUUUAUGUUGGGAUGCUGAUUCUGUUUGACUGUUUCCAGGUACCCCUAGUUGCUCAGUUCUCUUAAGAACUUGCAUUGCUUUGCUUAUAAGCAAUUAGCAUUGAGGUAUUGCACUUUCUUCUUCAUGUAGUCUGGAGACCCGGCUGUUAUUUGGCCGGGCAAACUGUCUGAAGUCCUCCUUAAGAGGCAAUGCUUGUGUAUGUUUAUAUUUGUCCCAAGCAGGAAAAGUCCUCGUUUGAGGCAAUUGGUGGAAGGUAGGGAUAAGCAAUCUAUCCCCCACUAUUCUGUGAGUCUUCUCCUUGCUCCCAUUACAUGGUUGUAGCAUUGAGAUCCAAACCCAAGAUCUAUCGAGUCCAAUUGGGGAAAGAGUUCCAUCUUUCUGAACUCCCCCACAUUCUUAUAUUUACAUGCUCUCUCGGACCUGAGAUAGAAGCAAUGAGGCACACCCCUCAUCACCUUUCAUCUGGCUUCACCUUAGCCCCUCAAUGGCAAGGUUAAGAGCUAACCUGACCCCGAUACAGAGGCUUGUUUGUUGAGGUUGAUAUGACCCCUCGACUAAAGCCUAACCCUGAUGUUUGAGCCCCUUGUUGGUGUGUUUAUUUCAUGCUGUAUAUGUUUGUGUGGUGUGAUUGUAUCCCCUAGGUUUGCUAGACUCCGCGUAGUCUCGUUUGCAUGUCAAUUAAGGUAGCACGGUUCCUUCGUAUAGGACUUCCUUUCUUGCUUGAGCUUUCCUAAAACACAAACAAACAUUAUCCCCUCUUAAGGAUACGUCAACUCCUUCUACUACAGGUGAGUAAGUCUCCAAAGGUCGAGCAUCCGGUAGAUUGCGUAGUGACGUUGUCCACCUAAAAAACACAAACCAACAGGAAUAGUUUAGCCGAACUACGGCAACUCUGAUUCUCAUGUCCAGAUGAGAUACGUAGGCACGAGAUGCGAUGUCUUGUCGAGUUUGACUAACAACUAACACUAAUUCUUUUCUCUCGCCCUCGUUGCGAUUGAGACCUCCCCUUUCUCUUGCCCUAGUUGCAAUCGAGACCCUUCUUCUUCCUGUGUCUUGUUGUGUGCUUGGAAGCUGAUGUAAGUCCAUCGAGUGGCGUUCGGGUUCCAGUGUGAGUUCGUUUGGUUCGGAUGCUGAUGUAAGCCCAGUGAUUGGCAUUCAGGCUCCAUGUUAGCCUUCUUGUGUGUGUUUUGGUUCGGAUGUUGAUGUAAGCCCAGUGAUUGGCAUUCAGGCUCCACGUUUGCCUUUGCCUGCAUUUGUUUGUGUGCGUAUUAGCCGAGCUACGAAUGCUCUGAUUCUCCUUCGUCCAAAGGAGAUACGUAUGCAUAGGAUGUGACAUCCUAGCGAGCAUGUGUCGUUUCCCCGGUCGAACUACUUUGACUCUGAUGUCUAUGCUUGAUAGACUAAGUAGGCCCAGGAUGCGAUAUCCUGCCGAGUCAGUCUUGUUUGUUUCCUUGUGUCUCUUUCAGCCUGUGUAGAUGUGUGUUUGAGCAGUGUUUUAGCAACCAUUUCCUUUCCUAUUGUGCGUGGAUCCCGUCGAGUACGACGGAUGCGUAGGGGUGCUAAUACCUUCCCUUCAGCAUAACGACUCACCGAUCCCAAUUUCUAUUGGUACGCGGACCAGUUUUUUCGCAAGGUUACUUCGACGGCGUUGUCCUUUCCCUCUUUUGGGAUAAAUAACGCACGGUGGCGGCUCUGUUGUUCUUGUUUUCCCGCCGGUUUUUCGCGUAAUGCGACAGCUGGCGACUCUGCUGGGGAAUAAACAGAAGUUGACCUGUGCUGGUCCAUCUUCCCUAAGCGAGUCUCUCCUAGCGCUCUCUAGGUUAGGGCUUUGGUUGCUUUUUGCUGCUAUUUAUUGCAUUCAUUGUAUAUAUUUGCAUUUACAGUUUGCAUUUAUUGUUUGCAUUAAUGUUUGCAUUCAUUCAUUAUUCAUCUGUCUGGCUGGUUGUCUGUUUUCCUUUGUUGGGGUGGGAGUUACUCGAGGUAAAAGGCCCAAUACCCAGGCUAUGAGUGAAAUCUAGGAAACCUAGGAAUAGAGUGAUUCAUGGGAAGCGGGUGGUAUGCGCCACUUAGCGGAACAUUGACGUCACGAGCAGUUCAGACCCUGGUGGAGCAUCAUCGUUGCAUACUUCAGGUGUGUAUAUGAUGGUAUUCUGCGAAAGGUUAUUUAUGCUGCGUUUCUUUCGACCUUACCCUGGCCUAGAUGACACCCGUGAGUGGGAGGGGUUGAUUAUUACAGGUAUUGUUGCUGACUUGUUGGUGACUGGUUGGUGACUCUUGGUACUGAUGGUGACUGUGAAUUAUGGACAUUUAUUUCUGGGACGCCGGAGUUCUGUCUGUGGUUUAUCAGCGGGUUCCGUUUAUUUCGGAUCCCCGGGUUGAAUUUGAGAGUAAGGUUGAGAGACAUCCAGAUGUCAGAAUGUUGUUGAUAAAAUUUUAUCUGUCUCGAUGAAACCGGAAUCAAAGGACAGAAUAUUCCUAGUACGGAUAGACAUUGCAUGUGUGAGUCAUACUAACCUGUCUGUUGUUUUGUAGGUUUCAGUAUUCAACCGGUGCGCAUAGCUCGUCUGUUCAGAUAACCUGCUGAGGUCAACAAAUCCAAGCUGAUGGAUCUCCCCAAUGCCGACAUCCUUGAGCUGAAAGAGAUGGUGAGGGACUUGUUCAGUGUUGUGCAAGGGCUUGCCUCGGGGCAGAAAGCCAUGUCGGAGAGAUUGGAAAAGAUUGAGAAGUGGCUGAUAGUGGAGAAAGUUCAGGGGAAGUCUCCGUCCUCCGAAGUAAACAAACCUUCUGGCACCGUGGUAAAUAAACUUUCUGACAGUGGUCCUUUCAAGAAGGAGGUUGAGUCAGUUGGUAUGCCGGUAAAAAGAGAACGCAGUAAGGACCGUUAUCACCCUUAUGCUGCUGCUGUAACCACUCCUGUUGGUAAUCCACUUGUACCACCGCAACAACUACCACCUCAACAGAAGGCACCGAGAGCCAGGAGCCAGGUGAAGAAGAAAAAGGAGGAGCGUCAGUUCGAGGAACCACCUGUGACCUACACCCUUUUGUUCAGGAGAUUGAGGGAUUUGGGGUUAGUCCGGCCAAGGAUUUUGAUUCCCAUAGCACAACAGAAGANNNNNNNNNNNNNNNNNNNNNNNNNNNNNNNNNNNNNNNNNNNNNNNNNNNNNNNNNNNNNNNNNNNNNNNNNNNNNNNNNNNNNNNNNNNNNNNNNNNNNNNNNNNNNNNNNNNNNNNNNNNNNNNNNNNNNNNNNNNNNNNNNNNNNNNNNNNNNNNNNNNNNNNNNNNNNNNNNNNNNNNNNNNNNNNNNNNNNNNNNNNNNNNNNNNNNNNNNNNNNNNNNNNNNNNNNNNNNNNNNNNNNNNNNNNNNNNNNNNNNNNNNNNNNNNNNNNNNNNNNNNNNNNNNNNNNNNNNNNNNNNNNNNNNNNNNNNNNNNNNNNNNNNNNNNNNNNNNNNNNNNNNNNNNNNNNNNNNNNNNNNNNNNNNNNNNNNNNNNNNNNNNNNNNNNNNNNNNNNNNNNNNNNNNNNNNNNNNNNNNNNNNNNNNNNNNNNNNNNNNNNNNNNNNNNNNCCGCAAAGCAAGAGACAGACUCCAUCUGGUCGAAGGCAGACAUGUUUGGGAUCGGUUAUGCCGAGCAUCAAGAGUCGUCUAGACCAAACAGAGGUACUGCACCCCGUACAUCUUCGCAGUGCAAGGACAUGCUGAUUCUGAUCACGCCGCUUUCGUGCAUGAAGCAGAUCACCAGCAGAUGGACGUGGGCUGAGCUCGAGUUGUGGAUUAAAGUGUCUGACGUACCAGGCAAUUGGAGGCCGUCCAAAACCUAUGCAGUGCUUCAUCGAAUGGCGAAAGUCAUUUUUUCUGUGUUAAAGGUUAUUGUUUGGCAUGAAACCAUAACGUUUCUGGCCCGAAACGUCUGGUCAUGUAAGGGAUGCCAUCCUCACUCGCUCCUCAUUUAUGCAUCAUCUGCAUCAGUAUAAAUGGAUGUUUUGUGAUCAGAAGCGGUGUCCCCUGUUUCUCAUUUUUUAUGCCGAUGUUUUAAAGAAAAUAAAUGGCAAUGUUUUCGCUUUUUCUUAAUUGAACUUGUCUUUCCAAACCCAAACAAAAGUGAUUACAAACUGACCGAUCUCAUCGAUAACAAUUCUGGGUCACCUACUAUAAUAGAACUAGUAAAAAAAAUCAACGCAUCCCAAGCUAGCAUGCCGAGGAAGUAAGGGACAGAAGACAUAUCUGUGAUCUCUUGAAUAAUAGCCACAGGUUGUUGAAACAAUGAUAGGCAGAAAGGUGAUUCACCACGCGACGAAGAGAGCCCGAGUCAAGAUGGGUAACCGAGUACCACCGCAAAGGUCCAAGGGAAAGCGAAAGUUGAGGCCGCUUCAGAGGCAAGUCGAGAACUGAAUGGUAGCCCUGUUGAAAGAGAUAUCUUCACCUGGUUGCAUCAAGAUGCACCAGGGUGGAAUACCCAUGUUGUGGGGCACGAGCUACCAUCGAGAGAAGACUAUCCUCUAGUGAAGAAGAAGGCCGGUGCCACGGAUCAAGGGGCUACGGUGACUUUGUUUCAUGAUAUGAAUCAUCAUGAAAGCGAAUGCUAUGUUGAUGACAUGAUAGCGAAGUCCUAAGCCGAAGAGGGGCAUCCGGUGGAUCUGGGGCAAAUCGUUUGACCGGAUCGAAACUACUCAGACUGAGGUUGAGUCCGAACCAGUGCACUUAUGGAGCGUUGUCCAGCAAGCUGCGUAUUCUAGACAAGCCGCAUACGCACCUGAUGAGAGGUGGAAGAUUGAUCAGUUUCUUUUUGGUCUGAGGGGUGAAAUUUCUCAUAGUGUUUCUCAAAGGGAAUUCACUUCUUAUGCUGAACUGUUAAGACAAUGUUGUGGCUGAGAACGUUGUAAGAAAGUCAAGCAAGAAACGAAUCAAUUCAGGAGUGGGCGAGAGACCAAGGAAGGCGGGAAGCCAAUUCAGGCCUAGAUCACGGGCUUUCAAGGGAAAACAGGUGCAACAUGCAAGACCUAACCAACCUCCUCAAUGUCAAGCAUGUAAGAAGUAUCAUUUUGGAAGAUGUGCUGUAAGUGGAAUUAGGUGUUUUACUUGUCAGAGAGAGGGGCACAUGUUUAGGGAAUGCCCUCAGAAUAAGAAUCAGAUGCAGGGGAGGAGUACUGGUCGAGUUUAUACCUUAGAUGCAAGGAAGGCUAAGAGCAAUAAUGCCUUAAUUGCUGGUACGUGUCUCGUCAAUAAUCAUCCUUGUUUUGUAUUAUUUGAUUGUGGGGAGACACACUCUUUUGUAUCAAUUCGGUGCAUGAAGUGUCUUGGCUUGCAAGCAAUUCCCUUGUCUCCUCCUAUGGUGGUUACUACCGCCAAGGAUGAUGUGGUUGAGACACCGUUGAUUUGUGAAAAUUGUUCGCUCUCGGUGAAUGGUAGAAUUUUUCAGAUUGAUCUUAUUUGUUUACCAUUUAAGAAGGUUGAUGUGGUUUUGGGGAUGGAUUGGCUUUCCGCCAACUCGGUGUUUAUUGGUUGUGAAGAGAAGUUGAUUAUCAUUCUAUCUAGUGAAGCUACUCCAAAGGAUGUGUUAACUACAAUCUUGGAAGGUACGGUUGGCAUGGUUAAUUUCUUAUUUGAGAAUGAAAAGUCAGUUCUCUUGGUUCUUACCAAGGAAUCUAGCGAUAAUCUGAGUGUUACACAAAUCCCUGUUGUUUGUGAAUUUCCAAAAGUUUCUCCUGAGGAUGUCUCCUCUCUUCCUCCUGAAAGGGAAGUGGAAUUCUCUAUUGAUCUGAUACAUGGGACGACUCCAAUCUCCGUCUCUCCGUAUCGCAUGGCGCCACUAGAGUUGAGAGAGUUGAAGAAUCAAUUAGAAGAGUUGUUGACCAAGCAUUUCAUCUGACAUAGUGUCUCACUAUGGGGAGCUCCAGUGUUAUUAGUAAAGAAGAAGGACGGUAGUAUGCGGUUGUGUAUUGAUUAUCUCUAGUUGAAUAAAGUUACCAUCAAGAACAAGUAUCCUCUGCCAAGGAUAGACGAUUUGUUAGAUCAGUUGAAAGGAGCCUGCGUGUUCUCGAAGAUUGAUCUACGAUCGGGCUAUCAUCAAAUAAGAGUUAAGAGUUCGGAUGUACCAAAGACCAUAUUUAGAACCCGAUAUGGCCAUUAUGUUUUCCUUGUAAUGCCGUUUGGUGUAACAAAUGCCCCAACUGUUUUCAUGGAUUAUAUGAAUCGGAUAUUCCAACCCUGCUUGGACCAGUUUAUGGUGAUCUUUAUUGAUGACAUUCUUAUUUAUUCUAGUACUUCUCAAGAGCAUGGAGAACACCUAAGGAUUGUUCUAUCAGUACUGCAAGAGAAACAACUUUUUGCCAUGUUAAGUAAGUAUAAAUUUUGGAUGAACAAAGUGAGGUUUCUUGGUCAUAUAAUAUCACAAGGAGGAGUAUCGGUGGAUCCAUCUAAAGCUGAAGCAGUUAUUAAUUGGGAAAGACCGAAGAAUGCUUCCGAAGUAAGAAGUUUCUUAGGUUUAGCAGGUUACUAUCGAAGGUUUAUAAAGGGAUUUUCGCAGAUAGCGUUACCAAUGACUAGACUUACCCGAAAAGAAAUUUCUUUCAAAUGGGAUUCGAAGUGUGAGAAGACAAAAUACUCAAACUUCCUGAAGCUAACGACUGCUCCUAUUUUAGUCAUUCCUGAUCCUAGUAAGUCUUAUGAAGUAUUUUGUGAUGCCUCUAAGAAAGGAUUAGGAAGCAAUCGAUUGGUCCUGUAAAAAUUUCAUUUUUUAUGCUAAACCAAAGGCUGUCAAUCGAUUGGUAACAGGGGCCAAUCGAUUGGUUCACUCAUAUUUUCAUUUUUCCACUUCUCAGAACACCAUUUUCCUCUUUAACUCCAUUUCCAAUCAAACCCACGCUCCUUCAUCCAACACAUCCAUCUCACUACAUGCUGAUAUACACAUGUACAACAAGAAUCCCAAGUUCAUAACUACAAGGAUUUCAACAUCAUAACAUAACCAUAACAAAUCAUAUUAUCAUACCAAUCAAUAAAACACAUUAAGGCACAUGUUCAUGGAAAUCAACAAGAGCAAGAACAUAUUCAUCUUAUAGCAUGGAUUUUCAUGAUUUGUCUAACAUUCUACAACCCUAACUUUUCUAAAAACCUAAAGUUUCUAACUAGAACCCACCUCAAGAAAUUGAAGAGGAGAAGUUGUGGAAGAUGAAAUGAGGAUGAAGAUGAUGGUGCUGGUUCCAAGUUUUUUCCUUCUUCUUCUUCUUCUCCACUAGCCUUGCUUUUCCUUCUUCUCUUAAGCUUCCUCUUUCUUUCUAUGCUUUCCUUUCUCUCUACUUAUCCUUUUUGAUACAUAGAAAACAAAUGGCAAGUGGUAAGUGGUAUAAGACACAAACAUGUGGUGGUGAGUGGGUCAAAGGUCAUAAACAAGUGGCCAUUAUGAUUUAUGUGGUUAGAAAGUGGUGGAGUGGUAGCAAAAAAUAUCUCAAGUGGCACUAACUUGUAAUAUUUGUUCUACCGGAGCUAUUGACCCAUUAUUAGUGUUACCAAAAUGUCCCAAUUAAUAAAAGGUCAGUUCCAAAUAAUAUUAAUUAAGUCAACCUGAACUCACAUGGCUCUAUUUAUCCCAUUGGCAACUUUUAGGCACAUAGAAACUAAGUUAUCUCAAUUAAUAGGAAUUUAGACAUUGGGGUAUUACACAAAGUGUUGAAAUUUAAACUUAAGAUGUUGAAAAUAAUGAUAAUGAAAGCAUGAGUAUAAAAAUAUUUCAAGGUUGGUUUCUUAAUGUAAUCUUUUCUCGAGUAAUUCCUUGUUAAAAAUGUUUAAUGUUAGUUAAGAAAGCAUGAAAUGAACUUACUAAUCAUAGUUGUAGUUAUAACAAGUAAAAUGUUUAAUAUUGUUGGUGUUGGUGUUGAAAUUUAGUAGUUAACGAUUCUAAAAUGUUUAAUAUUGUUGAUGUUGUUGAAAUUUAGUAGUUAACGAUUCUAUUGAUUUUGUUUAUUUGUUGUUUUUUGUUGUUGUUGUUGUUUUUGAGAUUUAAUGUUUAAAUAUUCCACGAACUUUGUUGUUGUUGUUGUUGAGAUUUAAUAUUUAAAAAUUCAAUUGAUUUGGUGUUUGUUGUUGUUAUUGGUGGUAAUGUUGUUGAUGAUGAGGAAGAUUUAGAAUUUUCCAACAAAUUUGAUGUUUUGCAGAUUAAAACGAAAAAAAAUCAAGUUAAAACCAAAAUUUUGUAAACAGGACUUUACCCCUCGGUUAUUGUUAAAAAUCGAGGUAAAAAGUAGCAUUGUUUUAAAAAUCCAAAAAAUGUAGUUGUAAUGGAUCGAACUUGUUACCAGUGCCACUUUUCCCUUUGGGUAUUAAAAAACUGAUGGAUAAAGUGGCAUUGUUUCAUGUCGCUUUUCGUUACCUCAUAUGUGUAGCCGAGGUUAUAUAACCUUCGCGACCGAGAUGAAUGUGGUUAUUUGUAGUAGGGAUGUGUAUGAGAGUACUAAUUUUUUCCUUCUAUUGGCACAGUUUUAACAUGUAGCCCAUAAUAAAUCGUAGCUCAAAUUUGAGAAUAAACUAGAUAAGAACCCGCGCGAUGCGCGGUUGUGAAUUAAUUUUUAUUUGAUUAAUAUUGAAUUUAAAUUAUAUUAUUUUUUUAAAAAAAUAUGGUUGAAGAUUUAUAUUAUAACAUCUUAUUAUGAGUUAUAAUAUAGAAAACAAUACAAAUUAAUCAAUAAUAAAAAUGAAUAUUUUACUUGAAAGAAAAAAUAUAUGUUUGUAAUUUGAAUGUUAUAUCUAGAUUUUAGUUUUUGCAAAUUUUAAUAAUUCUAAAAGAUACUACUUGUGAUCAUUUUUUAUAUUUUGAUUCUCAUUUCUCUUAGACACUCAUAUGUGAGAAAUCAAUAAUGUUAUUCUAAAAUAAUCUAACAACCCAUUUUCAGUGCUUGUGAAAGAUAUGGUUAAAGAGUUAUAUUAUAAUAUCUUAUUAUAAAUUAUAAUAUAGACAACAAUAUGAAUUAAUCAAGAACAAAAAUGAACAUUUUAUUUGAAAGAAAAAUAUAUGUUUGUAAGUUGACAGUGAUAUCUAGAAUUUAGUUUUUGCAAAUUUUAAUAACUCUAAAAAAUAAUACUUAUGAUAAUUUUUUAUAUUUUGAUUUUCAUGUUUGUCUAACACUCAUAUGUGAGAAAUCAAUAAUUUUAUUCUUUAUCAAUACUUUAUUUGUUUGUUUUAAUAUGAAUAAUGUAAUAGUGAUGUUUAUCAAUAAGAUUGAAAAGUGUUACAUGAUCUGUCAUAUUUCAAUAUCAAUAAAUAGUGGCAUACCUUUGAAGUUUGUGUAAUACCUAAUUUGACAUUAAAGACAUUUGUUUUAACUUUUAUUUGCUAUGAUUUCAAGAAAAUCAAAAAUAUUUAAUAGUUUUUGGAUUCUCUUUUAUUUUUAAAAUUUGAGCAAAUAUACUUAGUUGAAGUAAUUGUUGGCUUGUCAGAUUAUUUUAUUCAAAAUGAGUGUGAAAUUAUAUCCGAGUUAUUUUUCUCUUCUUUUUUUAUAAUUCAAAAAUUAUUUCAAGAAAAAUAAUAAUGUUAUAUAAGAUUUAAGCAAAUAAUAUAUAUCACAAUUAAAAAAUAGUUGUUAUGUUAAUAUGUUGUUGCUUUUGCCAAGGUUCGAACUCAUGACCACAACAAAAGAUGUACUUUGACCUUUUGAAAAACAAAGGUGAAUUUCUAAGUUGCCACAUAAGAAUGAAGAUGACGUGUAAAAUAUUGAGUAUGUGACAUAUGAUUUGUCGUGAUAUAACUUGCCGCUUUAGAUUUAAUAUAUUAUGUGAGCUAAGACUGGCAAAGAAGCGUUGAACGCAUUGCAGAAGGAGUUUCAAGGAAGCGAUAAGGUGUGUGUCAUUAAACUUCAAUCUAUAAGAAGAUAUUUUGAACUAUUGUAGAUGAAGGAGUUUGAGAUAGUUAAAAAUUACUAUUCUAAAGUUAAAGAAAUAAAUAAUCAAAUGAGAGUUGUUGGGAAGAAUAUUCAUGACAAGAAUUUUUUUGAGAAAAUUCUAAUUACUAUGCCCCCAAAGUUUGACCCAAUCGUGGAAACGAUUGAGGAAAUCAAAGAUCUCUCCACUUUAUCAGUGACAAAACUAGUGGGCUCUUUUGAAGCAUAUGAGCAAAUAUUGCAUAGGCAUAAAGAAGAUACACUUGAAAAUUCCUUACACCUUGAGUUUGAAUACCAAAAUAAAGAAAAUAGAGGAAAGAAAAAUUAUGGAGAAACAUCCAGAGAAGAGAAGUUUUUACAUGCGAAUAAGCCAGAUAAAAACACUUCAUGUAAUAUAUGCAAAAGACUAGGCCACGCAGAGGAAAAUUGUUGGUACCGUAAUAUGCAAAAUAUGCCACAUCUUCAUCUCCAUGCAACCAUCAUUUUCGAUAAGCUCCCACAUGCCAUCAAAUAACAGUCUGAUCUUAUCCACUUACACUUCAUUCGACAACUUCGAAAAUAUUUUGGGUACUUUGAAUUUCACUAAGUCCCAAAAAUAAUAAACUCCCUAGUCUCUGACUGAUUGCAAUUCGACCAAAGUUGAUACUGCUUCUCGACAAACUAAAUUCGUAUUGAUCUCCAUGGUCGUAACUGGCCACUUAAGUUUUUGACAAUAAACUCCUUAUCACAUGAAACUUAUCAUAUUUUCAUAAUUAAUGCUCGAAAAUGUGAGGUAACAGCAUCACAUUUUAAUUUUUUUAAAAUAUCAUAUAUUCCCUCAGUUGAGCAGGAAACCGAGGGGUAAAGUAGCGUAUUUUUUAAUAAAUUAUUUAUGACCAAUUUGAUGGAAAAAAAUCAAAUAACGAAUCUUUAUCGUUCAUUUAUAAAGUAACAAUGGUCAAGACAUUGUCAAAUCAUCAAUCCACAUGAAACAUUAGUGAUAUGCGUGAAACUCUCACUAGCCAAUUAAAACGUGAAUGCCACAACUAUCUAUCUUGGAUGCAAAGUGCUGAAAUAUAACAAUGGUCAAGACAUUGUCAAAUCAUCAAUCCACAUGAAACAUUAGUGAUAUGCGUGAAACUCUCACUAGCCAAUUAAAACGUGAAUGCCACAACUAUCUAUCUUGGAUGCAAAGUGCUGAAAUUUAAACUUAAGAUGUUGAAAUUAAUGAUAAUGAAAGCAUGAGUAUAAAAAUAUUUCAAGGUUGGUUUCUUAAUGUAAUCUUUUCUCGAGUAAUUCCUUGUUAAAAAUGUUUAAUGUUAGUUAAGAAAGCAUGAAAUGAGCUUACUAAUCUUAGUUGUAGUUGUAACAAGUAAAAUGUUUAAUAUUGUUGGUGUUGUUAUUGAAAUUUAGUAGUUAACGAUUCUAAAAUGUUUAAUAUUGUUGUUGUUGUUGUUGAAAUUUAGUAGUUAACGAUUCUAUUAAUUUUGUUUAUUUGUUUUUCUUUUGUUGUUGUUGUUUUUGAGAUUUAAUGUUUAAAUAUUCCACGAACUUUGUUGUUGUUGUUGUUGUUGUUGUUGUUUUUGUUGUUGUUUUUGUUGUUGAGAUUUGAUAUUUAAAAAUUCUAUUGAUUUUGUGUUUGUUGUUGUUAUUGGUGUUAAUGUUGUUGAUAAUGAGGAAGGUUUAGAAUUUGCCAACAAAUUUGAUGCUUUGCAGAUUAAAACGAAAAAAAAAUCAAGUUAUAACUAAAAUUUUAUAAACAGGACUUUACCCCUCGGUUAUUGUUAAAAAUCGAGGUAAAAAGUAGCACUGUUUUAAAAAUCUAAAAAAUGUAGUUGUAAGGCAUCGAACUUGUUACCAGUGCCACUUUUCCCUUCGUUUAUUAAAAAACUGAGGAAUAAAGUUGCAGGUUUUCAUGUCGCUUUUCAUUACCUCAUAUGUGUAGUCAAGGUUAUAUACCCUUCGCAACCGAGAUGAAUGUGGUUAUUUGUAGUAGGGAUGUGUGGGAGAGUACCAAUUUUUUCCUUCUAUUGGCAAAAUUUUAACAUGUAGCCAAUAAUAAAUCGUAGCUCAAAUUUGAGUAUAAACUAGAUAAAAACCCAUGCGAUGUGUGAGUGUGAAUUAACUUUUAUUUGAUUAAUAUUGAAUUUAAAUUAUAUUAUUUUUUUAAAAAAAAUAUGGUUGGAGAUUUAUAUUAUAACAUCUUAUUAUGAAAUAUAAUAUAGACAACAAUACAAAUUAAUCAAUAAUAAAAAUGAAUAUUUUACUUGAAAGAAAAAAUAUAUGUUUGUAAUUUGACUGUUAUAUCUAGAAUUUAGUUUUUGGAAAUUUUAAUAAUUCUAAAAGAUAUUACUUGUGAUCAUUCUAAAAUGUUUAAUAUUGUUGUUGUUGUUGUUGUUGAAAUUUAGUAGUUAACGAUUCUAUUGAUUUUGUUUAUUUGUUGUUUUUGUUAUUGUUGUGGUUGUUGUUGUUGUUUUUGAGAUUUAAUGUUUAAAUAUUCCAUGAACUUUGUUGCUGUAUUUGUUGUUGAGAUUUAAUAUUUAAAGAUUCUAUUGAUUUUGUGUUUGUUGUUGUUAUUGGUGUUAAUGUUGUUGAUAAUGAGGAAGAUUUAGAAUUUGCCAACAAACUUGAUGCUUUGCAGAUUAAAACGAAAAAAAAUCAAGUUAAAACAAAAAUUUUGUAAACAGGACUUUACCCCAUAUUUCCUUAAACACCUAAAUUUCUAUUAAUUGAGGUCAACUGAGUUCCUAUGUGCUCUAAGAGUUGCCAAUUGGGAUAAAUAGAGCAAAUAGUGAGUCCAGGUUGACUUAAUUAAUAUUAUUUGGAACUGACCUUUUAUUAAUUGGGACAUUUUGGUAACACUAAUAAUGGGUCAAUAGCUCUGGUAGAACAAAUAUUAUGAGUUUGGUGCCACUUGGGAUAUUUGUUGCUACUAGAAACCACUUACUAACCACAUGUUUCUAUUAGCCACUUGCAUUUGGUCUUUGAAUAACUCAUCACCACAUUUUCUACCUACCAUAAGCCACUUCAUUUGUUCUAUGUAUCAGAAAGUAUAGAAAGAUAGAGGAAUCUCAAGAGAAGAAGGGAAAGCAAGGCUAGUGGAGAAGAAGAAGAAGAAGGAAAACUUGAAACCAACACCAUCAUCUUCAUCCUCAUCUCAUCUUCAACAACUUCUCCUCUUCAAUUUCUUGAGGUGGGUUCUAGUUAGAAACUCUAGGUUUCUAGAAAGGUUAGGGUUGUAGAAUGUUAGACAAAUCAUGAUAAUCCAUGCUAUAUAAUGAAUAUGUUCUUGCUCUUAUUGACUUCCAUGAACAUGUGCUUUGUUGUGUUCUUAUAUUGGUUACGAUAACAUGAUUUGUUAUGGUUGUGGUGGAAUAAUAGACUUCCAUGAACAUGUGCUUUGUUGUGUUCUUAUAUUGGUUACGAUAACAUGAUUUGUUAUGGUUGUGGUGGAAUAAUUGGUUGUGAUUAUGACCUUGAAAAUCCUUGUGGUUGUGAGCUUGAAAUCCUUGAUUUAUAUGUGUAUGAGAACAUUUAAUAUGAUGGGUUGUUGUUGGAAGAAGUAGUGGUUGUCAUACCCCGAUUUUGGCCCUGAAAAUUUUUCCCCAUCAAUCACUCGUUUGCAUUCUUUCUUCAUUCACCUUCAUAUCCUUCAUUCAUGUUCAUGUUUACUAUUUCAUAUUUUCUAUGUUUUUCACAUUCCAAAUUUACAUUCAUAUUUUCUUCAUUCACAUUGAAAAAAUUCCAUUCAUAUUCAAGAAUUUCCACAUACUCAUUCAUAGUUCGAUUCCUUCGUUCAUUCAUUCAAUCAUAAUCAUCUAUGUACAUCGCAUAUGAAUAACUUAUAAAAAAAACAUCUCAUCACAUGAAUACAUGAAGUGUUUAGUAAUAUCAUACAGGAUUAUAUAUGUGCGGUUACCGUCUCCAUAAACCCCAACAUCUGAUAUAUCAUCUCACAGUUUUUGUUAAUCGCUAUGUCUGUUGAUUCGCUAAACGACGUCGCUUCGUGCUCCCCGAAGAUGGAAAAGUUCCUCUGUGAAUUUCUGUUGGACUCCACUCAACCCAUCUCUGAACGCUUCAGAGCCCUAUUCUCUCUUCGGAACCUCAAAGGCCCCGCUCCUCGCACCUCCCUUAUUCUCGCAACUAGAGAUUCAUCCAAUUUGUUAGCACAUGAAGCUGCGUUUGCAUUAGGUCAAAUGCAAGAACUGGAAGCCAUUCUUACAUUGACCUCGGUUCUUAAUGAUCUUUCUUUGCAUCCCAUUGUUCGCCAUGAGGCAGCGGAAGCAUUUGGCGCUAUUGGAUCAGAUAGUAAUGUUUCUCUUUUGAAGCGAAGUUUGGAUUCUGAUCCGGCUCAAGAGGUUCGAGAGACGUGUGAAUUGGCUCUUCAACGUAUUCUAAAUUUAAAAGAUCUUGCUGCUGCGGAUGAUUCGACUGCACCGGGUAUUUCUCCAUUUAUGUCUGUUGAUCCUGCAGCACCGGCCACGUCUUGUUCUUCGGUGGACCAAUUAAGGGAGUUACUUCUUGAUGAGGAAAAAGGGAUGUAUGAGCGAUAUGCAGCUCUUUUUGCACUUCGAAAUGACGGUGGAAACAAAGCCGUUGCUGCUAUUAUUGAUUCCUUGGGUUCCAAGAGUGCUUUACUAAAACAUGAGGUUGCAUAUGUUUUGGGCCAAUUGCAAGACAAAGCCGCUUCGGCUGCUCUAUCCAAUAUACUUCGAGAUGUGAAUGAGCAUCCAAUGGUUAAGCAUGAGGCUGCCGAAGCUCUUGGUUCAAUUGCAGAUGACCAAAGUGUAGCUCUUCUUGAGGAGUUUACGGCAGACCCGGAAGCUCUUGUCUCACAAAGUUGUCAAGUUGCUCUAAGCAUGCUAGAAGCUGAAAGAUCAGGGAAAUCUUUUGAGUUCUUGUUCAUGCGCAAUGCAACUGUGGUGUAAAUAUUUUCUUAUGUUUACACAUUCCAAUAAUGUUAAGAAAUGAAGAAUCUGCAUGAGAAUGAAGGGAGAAGGAUAAGUCAAGUGAGAAAGAUAUUAGUGAUAGUCAACCCGUUGAGGAACAGAAGUCUUGUAGUCCCACUAUUGAUCUAAAAGAAUCUCCACACCUUGAGCCACAACCACCUCCUGAUGAGUUGCUUUCAAUGGAAGAAGAUAUGGACAUUUGUGAUACCCCUCCUCAUGUCCCUGUGGUGACAGAUUUGUCAUCAGGAAAAUGGUUUUACCUUGAUUACGGAGGUGUAGAAAAUGGGCCUGCCAAAUUGUGUGACAUUAAGUUCCUUGUUAAUGAAGGGGUACUAAUGUCAGAUCACUUUAUCAAGCACUUGGAUAGUGACAGAUGGCUAAUAGUUGAAAAUGCGGUGUCGCCAUUGGCUGCUCAGAGUUUCCCGUCCAUUGUGUCAGAUACAAUAACUCAGCAUGUCCUCCUGCAGCAUCAAACGCAACGAGUUUUGCGUAAAUUCACCAAGUUUCGAUGUACUAAGAUGGCAUGAACAAAGAAGAAAAAGCUUACCGUAAGUGAAUGUCGGCGUUGUCACUACAGCAAACACAACUGUGGCCCUGCAAGAAUUAAACGAAAUCACAAUGCCCACUAUCAAAACCAGAUCAACAAGAAUCAGCACUUGGAAAGGAAGAAGAGCAAGAACAAGAUCAUUCAUUCAGUGUGAAGAUUUUUCUCUAGCAUGGUGGUUCUGUUUGGGAUGCAUGCUUCAGUUGUGCUUCAAAUCAAGUAGCUUAAGUUUGUUGACACUGCCAUUUUCUUUCUCUUAAUUUCGUAUGCUAUCUGGAAUCUUGAUUCAAAUAUUCCAUGGAAUUCUUGGAGGCUGGACUGCUUAUCUCAUCAGUGUCCUAUAUGUUGAGUACCGAACCGGAAAGGAAAAGGAAAAUGCUGCAGAGGAACACUGGCGGAAUUUAGCAGAAUAUAGGAAGUUUCUGAAAUCCUGUGAUUUUGUGAAGGUGAAUAGUCAUUGGCGAAAAAUCCAAGAUCGGCUAGAGGAUGAUGAUAGACACUUACUACUUGAAAAAAUUGACCGCUUGCUUGUUUACCAAGAUUAUAUUCGUGACUUGGAGAAGGAGGAAGAGGAACAGAAAAGGAUACAGAAGGAACGACUCCGUCGGGGUGAAAGGCAAAACCGUGAUGCAUUUCGCAAGUUGCUGGAAGAACAUAUUACUGAUAGAGUUCUUACUGCUAAAACACAAUGGCGAGAUUACUGCUUGAAGGUGAAAGAGUUGCCUCAAUAUCAAGCUGUUGCAUCAAAUACAUCUGGUUCUACCCCGAGAGAUUUAUAUGAGGAUGUCUUUGAAUAUCUUGAAAAGAAAUAUCAUUAGGCCAAGACGCACUCUUCUUGUUCGACCAAAUGAUUCCCUCGCAUGCCGAAACAAUGAUUCUGAAGCUAUCACUGUUGUUAAUCCUUCUCAAGAUGCAGAUGUUCACACCAAAGUUCCUCAAGGGGCCGAUGAUGAAAAGGCCAUUAAGUUGGAGAGUUUGUCUUCUUAUAUGAGUUCACUUGGAUUCACAUAAAUGGAAUAUGUUGAAGGCAACCAACAUGAAGCUUCAAUUGAUGAUUCAAAGCAAAUUAAAAUUCAAAAGGCUCGCCUGAAUUUAUAUCAUCAGUGAAGACAUUUUGUUUGCUCUUGGAACACUCUAUGUCAUUUGAAGGCUCUGUUGAGUUGCAUGUCACUUCUUCCAAAGCAUUGCUUAUAAUUGGAUCGCAUAUGCCAGAGGUGGUAGCAUCACAUUAUGCUCUCAAAGUUUCAUGGCUUAAGCAACUACUACUGAAUCAGGUAGAUUGGGACACUCGGGAAUCCAUUGCAUGUUUACUUGGAAUCGUGUCUUCUGCUCUUCCUCUGCCAGCUGUUACGGAAAAACCUAGCAAACAAAUUGAUGAACAAAUGUAGAACCACCAAACCAGAGUCUUGAGAAUACUACCCAUGUAUUUGUUGCACCUGACCGGCCAACUGUGAUUUAUAGUAGUAACAAAAAGUUACUCUAUAGUAAUGUAAAUCUGAAGGAAGUGAGUCACAUGUGCCCUUUCAACUCUGCUGCUUUUCCAGACAGUUUAGCAAUCGCAAAGGAAGAGGAAAAUGAGCCAACCAAGGGAAGGAUUCUUGUGUUUUCAGUUGAAGAGGGAAAGCUACAACUAAUUGCCGAAAAAGAAACAAAAGGAGAUGUUUACUGCUUGAAUGCGUUUAAUGGUAAAUUGCUUGCUGCUAUUAAUCAAAAGAUUCAGCUGUACAAGUGGGUGCUCCGGGAAGAUGGCACUCACGAAUUACAGUCUGAAUGCGGACACCAUGGGCACAUACUGGCUUUAUAUGUGCAAACCAGAGGAGAUUUUAUCGUAGUUGUUGAUCUGAUAAAGUGUCUAUAGUGCAUUGCUGGAAAUGUUUCUUUGCCCGUUAUUUCCAUAAUUGGUGCAAGAACAAUGCAUUAUAUGGCUUGCUCGUUGAUUCCUCUACUGUUGCUGUUGGUUUAAUCAGGAAAAAAUCAGUUUCACUUUUCGGUCUCUGGAAGAUAUUGAGCGGAUUGUAGAGAUUCAGAGGAAAUUAGCGAGCUCACAGGCAUUGUGGAUUUGUUUGAUGAUGAUAUUAAGUGUGAAAUUCUGAUCGAAUUGCUCAAGUGUGUCACGAGUUUCAGCCAACUGUUGGGCAAAACUGCCUCUUCUAUAUUUUAUGAAUCACUUUUAAUUGCACUGAUGAUCUCUUAUGAAGAUAUUGUUCAUUGUAUAGUGAAGGUUCUUGAAACUGGUUAUUGUAUAUCAGGUGCAGUGCUCCGAAGAUCUACAUCUGGGGAUCAUACAAUAUUCCUGCAAAAGGAACUAACAGAUCAUAGAAGUUUGAGAAAACUCUAAAAACUCUCUGUUGACAUGUUUUUGUCUCUUCAAGGCCCGUACAAAAAGCGUCUACAUGGGACAAGAUUUUAAAUGUAAUUGAGGGUUUACUAAAAUUUCUGGUUCCGCAGAAAGAAAUGCUUAAGUCUGAUACUGAAAUGUCAUCAAACAUAAAUUCCUCAAUCAUGGUACAUUCUUCAUAUCAUAUUGCAAAAGUGAUGUUUGAACCUGCCUGGGACUUUCUCCUGUUUUUAAGCUAUUUGGUGGACAUCAGCAGUCGGGUCCACUUGUCACCCGACGAUAUAACCAAAAUACAACUUGAGUUAGUUCCGAUGCUUCAAGAAAUUAUUUUUGAGUGGUUGGUCAUCAUCUUUUUGCCAUCACACCGGUUGCACUAGCUAUUACAGAGGACUUCCAUUCAAAACUUUCAUCAUUGCAAAUAGAUAAUAACACAGGGAAACCCAAUAUUAGGAGUCCAUAUCUUCUUAUAUUCGAAGGAUGUAUCUGAGAUAAAAUGUUUGCAAGGUUCGGCUCAUGGUCCACGACAAGAAGCAGCUCUAUGUCAUGCUGUAACAGAUGCGGACGGAAAGUUCUCAUUCAAUUCAAUACCUUGUGGAAGUUAUGAACCAGUUCCCUACUACAAGGGUAACUGGAUUUUCUGUUGGAGGCCGUGUAGUUGUUGGAAAUGACAUGGGAGUGGAGGGUGUUAUGGUCAUAGUUGAUGGUCAUGAAAGGUCUAUUACUGACAAUCAAGGAUAUUACAAGCUUGACCAAGUUACAUCAACACACUAUACCAUAGAAGCCCGAAACAAGCAUUACAAAUUCAAGAAGUUAGAGAAUUAUAUGGUAUUGCCAAAUAUGGUUUCAAUAGAAGACAUUGUUGCUGUUUCAUAUGAUAUUUGUGGUUUGGUUGGGAUGGUUAGUAGCAGUCAGAAAGCAACGGUGGCUUUGACUCAUGGACCUGAUAAUGUGAAGCCGCAAAAGAAACAAACUGAUGGAAAUGGAAAUUUCUGCUUUGAGGUUAUUCUUGGCUCUGGUUAAUGUCCGCGGUGCUGUGGUCUGCAAGGAAGAAUGCGAUCCAUCUGUAUAUGUGACUAUUGUGAGGCAGGGUGCUAAACAUAAUGAAACUAGGAAGACAAUUAGCUUGACCUCCGAUAGUAGUGAAUUUCUGUUUUCUGAUGUUAUUCCUGGAAAAUACAGACUUGAGGUGAAACACAGGUCCUCUGAAUCGCCGCACCUUCACCGCCAUUUUAAUCCAUGAUUCAAACAACACAAACACCCAAAAUUAGUUAAUUCCAGAACAAAUCUUUCAAUUAAAUGAGUUACAAAGGUGAAGUUUUUUUCUUACCCACAGUGAAGUUUUGGAAAUGAAGAGAAUUGAGGGAGGGACCACAAAGUUGAAUAUGGACAAAAACUUCCCAACCUCCAUACAGACACUUCCCACUACACUGAGACUACACAGCAGGAAACACAGCAGAGGAAAGAGAUUAAUGGCAUAUAAAAGGAGGAUCACGGUUCACAAAAAAACCUAGAGAGGAUUGGCGGCUACCAUUAAGAAAAGAAAAGGAGAGAAUUGAAGGCAACGCUUGUCUACAUUCACCUGUCGAGCUCGCCGCAACCGGUUAGCUUCCUUUCCGAGUUUUAUUUCUAUGUUUUGAUUCUUCUUUGCAUCCUUUCCAAGGAAACCAUGGUUGUUUUCUGAUUCGGUUUCAUCGAAGCCUCCAUGUUUGAUUUAAAAAUACCGUUGCCAUGUUUGUUUGUGAUGUUAUCUUGCUGUUAAAAUUGAUGUUUCAAAAUGGAAAGAAAAAUAUCGUUGGAUGAAGUUGAAAAUGUUUAUAAGAACCUGCUACUGUUUUUUAACUUUGUGCUUUAUUUAAGAGUUUGGUUCAUUUUUAUCUUAUGUAUUAGUGCUUGAGUUCAUACAACAAGGAUGCUUGUAUGGCUGAGUUGGUAAAGGGAUGCUUUGGCAAGCCUUUGGUCUUGGGUUUGAUACCCUUGUGCUUCAUUUGGUUUUAGUUUUUUCACUUUAUUCAAUUUUUAAUCUUUGAUUGAUUUAGGAUUUAUUUUAUUAUUAAUCAUUUGUUUUAUUUUAUUCUCACUUUUCAACUUUAGUUUUUAUUCUCUCGCCGUUAUUUUAUUUUUAUUUGUUAAACAUCGAUUUUAAUUUAUGGAUUCAACAAUUUCCAUGAUAGUUUUUAUUCUCUCGCCGUUAUUUUAUUUUUAUUUGUUAAACAUCGAUUUUAAUUUAUGGAUUCAACAAUUUCCAUGUUGUUUAUCCAUGAUUAUUUUUAUCGAUACAUCGAUAGUAUUUCGCCGAGUUUUGAUUAAUCACAUAUGACAUUUCAAUUAUUGUCAAUAUGAGCAAACCGGCUUUGAGCACAUUAUCUAGGUUUCUUGUUUGCUUUUUUUUCAAUUUCCAUCUGCCUUGCACGUCAUUGCGUUAUGCGACUUUGAUUCGCAUCAUCGCAUCCCGAUUUUUAUCCGUGCACGUCCCGAUGUUGUUUCGUUCAAUUUAAUUUUUAAGUGUUUUGUAAAUAUAAUUUUGUAUUUGUUGUUUUCUUCACAUGGCUUAUUCUUGGGCCUUCUUACAAUGAGCCAGUUCUCUUGCACUUACACUCAUACAUUGCAUUAUUUGUUGUUUGGACCCGAUUUAAUUAUUCAAGUACUUUGAAUCCCCAUAUGACAAAAUGUAUCCCCACUCCCAUGGCAUGUAAUAAUUUUAUCGCUUUUUAUUUCUUUGUUAUUGCUUGACUGUUUAGUUAGCUACUAACACAAGAAUAAAAUCAACCAUUUCCAAAAUAUCAAAAAAUAAGACUCGAUCCAACGUCGAGUAUUUUCUCAAUAAACAAAUCAAUCCAUUUCUUCUUCCCAUUCUAUUUCAUUUCUUUCAAACUCUCAUCAAACACUUGAUCCAACGUCAAGCCAUUUCUCAUAAUAAAAACUCAAAAAAUAUUAAUUCCUAUCUAAACACUUUUCAAUAAAGAUGGAAAUGGAACGCGGUGUAUACCGCGCACUCCUGAGACUAGGAUUCGAGAUGGAUAUCUCACCGAUCCUAGCUUUCGCCAUCAUCCAAAUUUAUCUAUUCUGUUUCUCUCAAACACUCAUUCAAAUCUUUCUCAAUCGCUCAUCAAAUGCUUGAUCUAAUGUUAAGUCAUUUUCAUAACAAAAACUCAAAAUACUUAAUUCCUAUCUAAACACUUUUCAAUAAAGAUAGAAAUGGAACGUGGUGUAUACCACGCACUCCUGAGACUAAGAUUCGAGGCGGAUGCCUCACCUAUCUUAGCUCUCGCCAUCAUUUAAAAUUGUCAAUGCGGUUUCUUUAAACCCUUUCUCAAUCAAACCUCAAAAAAACACUUAAUGCUUAUUAAACAUUUUUGCAAAUAAGAUGGAAAUGGAACGUGGUGUAUACCACGUACUCCUGAGACUAGGAUUCAAGAUGGAUAUCUCGCUCAUCCAAGUUCUCGCCAUUACUCAAAACACAUCAAACCAAUCAAUUUCUUUUUCUCGCCGCCGUGUGAUUAACCCUUCAAACCUUUUCUCAAACGAAAGAUACUUUGUUUCAAAACAAUGCAAGGCAAUGUUUUUCCACCUGUUUUGGGUAGUCCAACAAUGCUUCCGUCGAUUUGAUACAAAGUAGCUUUCGCUAAAAUCGACCAACAAACAAACAUUUUUCUACCCAGAACUACGUAAGCCUUGACUUCUCUAUUGAGAUACGUAGGAGCAGGAUUUGUAAAUCUUGUCAGACCCACUAAUAAAAAACUAUUUCUACCCAGAACUACGUAAGCCUUGACUUCUCUAUUGAGAUACGUAGGAGCAGGAUUUGUAAAUCUUGUCAGACCCACUAAUAAAAAACUUAGGUUUAGUCCUUCGUCAAAAAUCCAAAAACAUUCUUACUCUCAUCCUUUCUUUAUUUCUCACUUAAUAAAUUAAAGCCUAACAUUUCAACUAACACUAAUGCACACAACUGACCUAAUGGUUCCCGUUGAGUACAACGGACGUGAGGGGUGCUAAUACAUUCCCCUUGCGUAAUCGACUCCCGAACCCCGAUUUGGUUGUGACGACCAUAAUCAUUGUCGUUUCUUUCUUGGGUUUUAUCGAUAUUUCCCCUUUUCUUUUUAGGAAUAAAUAAAGUUCGGUGGCGACUCUGUUCAGUCCAUCAUGGUGAGCGUGCGAUUGCGCUUCGCUUAAAGUCGUGUCACUCAUUUUUCUUUGAGGUACGACAGUGGUAAUUUGUAGAAAUGGUAGAACAGAGGAAAAUGGUGUCUGUGAAGUGAAAUGAGAAAAUGCGAGUGGAUCAAUCGAUUGGCCUCUGUCAACCAAUCGAUUGACAGCCUUUGGUUUAGCAGAAAAAUGAAAUUUUUACAGGACCAAUCGAUUGACACUGCAUGUCAAUCGAUUUCACAAACUUGAUGUAUAUGAACAGUGGAAAUUUUUAACAUGACCAAUCGAUUGACACUCAGGAUCAAUCGAUUGACACUCAACAAAUUUUGAAAAAACAGAAAUGUUAGAGGAAUCAAUCAAUUGGGCUUCCCCAACCAAUCGAUUGACUCAAGUUAAAAACUUCAAAAUCCAUUUCUUAAGUGUUUUUAAAUGCAUUCUUCCAACCAUUAAUCAAUUGUGAUGCCAUGUUAAGUUGAAAACAUGUAAAUAGUGAGAAUUACAUGAUGAAUAUAGUAAGUUAACCUAGGAUUGGUAUUAGGUCUUGAGUGAGGUUUAUGACUUAGAUAACAUUGAAUGACGGUAUUCAUUCGUACGGCGCUUAUGUGGAGGUCGUGUACGAAUUGUUGCCAUGAUUGAGAAUGAGACACAUUGUAUGGAACAUGCUAUGUUAUAUUUGUGUAUUGUGGUGAAUGAAGUCACCUAUGUUUGAUGAAUUUUGUUAUGGUUCGUGGAACCGAUGAUUGUAGAACCGAUCAUGUAUUCGGAAUGUGUUUUUUAUGUGACGGUGCACAUCUCUAUUGGUAUGCUUAUAUGUGUAAGCAUUGGGAUGUGGGACCAAUGAUUCGAGCCUCAAUUGGGUUUGAGCCCCAACCAUGGUAGACAUGGGGGAAAGGUGGACACCUAGGUGACAUGGAGGAAAUGUGGACACCUAGGUGGGUUGGAGUCCCAUACGGUGAAAGAUACCCUAGGUGGGUUAGAGUCCCAUAGGGUGACGGUCGCUGGAACUGGGGAUUAAGCCUCAUAGAAGACUCAAUACCCACCACGAAAGUCGAACCAAACGAGCAUGCAUGAACCGGGCCUGGCUUAGACUUAAGCCCGUUCGGGAAUUGAUGCGUCAUGAUCUGAAUACUGAUUGUGGUUGAGUUACGUGAACUCAGAUGCAUGUUGCCAUAUAAUUGCGAGUUAGUUCCCCAUCGCUCAAGUCUUCGUUCCCUUGUUGACUUGAGUUGGAUAUGAGUUGAAUAUUAAUUAGAAAUCCCUGUAGAGUCGAGUGGACCCAUAAGAUAGGGAACCCAUUGAGAUUAUUAUCUCACCCCAUGUUGUUGAUUAUUUUUUUCAGGUGGUUCUGAGCAGGAUAAGGGUAAGGGAAAGAUAGAGUGAUGUCUUGCUUACCUGAGGACUGGUGGCUUUUCUUCUGCUGUGUAGAUAUUUUUGAGAUCAUUGUCUAAUGAUCUAGAUCAGUAGUUUUAUUUUGGGCACUCUUAUGUACAUUUAUGGCAUAUUAUGUUAUUUUGGGCAUGUAUUUGUAUAUGUACACUGUGCUGCUAGGCACUUAUGUAUUUCAGUACUAGUAUUACACUUUGUAUAAUAUGUAUUCUAGACAUAUAUUAUAUGUGGGUGUUACAGUUGGUAUCAGAGCAGGUCGUAUCCACGACCUAGCCAUGAAAUAUUAGAAGUAUUCCUUUCUGCCUCAUAUGUGGGUUGUCAUCAUUGCCCUUGGUGUUAUAUUCAUAGUAUUGAGCCUGAUCAACUUAAUCCUAUUUGUAUGACAUUCAGGAUCAUGGUUGACAGACGCAGAGGUCGUGGUAGACCCAGAACCUAGAAUUCGGACUCUAAACCGCCAAGUGGUUGUGAAGGUUUUCAAUGGCCUCAGUUUAUGCAACAGAUGCAACAACAAGAGAAUCAAUUCAUGCAACAUAUGAUGCAGUAGUGGAAUGGUGGUUUGCAUCCUCAAGGAGUUCCACAGGUAGUUGCAGGUGGUAGUUUCCGAGAUUUCUUUCGCAUGAAUCCUCCGGAAUUCCAUGGUCGGUUGAAUCCUGUGAAGGCUCGGGAGUGGAUAAGCGGCAUGGAAAGGAUUUUUCGGAUAGUGCAUUGUAGUGAAGAAAAUAAGGUUGUGUUUGCUUCUCACAUGAUGAAGGGUCCAGCUGUGAGAUUGUGGGAGAGUGCUUCGACUCUUAUGACCAAUCAAGGAAUACCUAGAGAUUGGGAGCAUUUUAAGACUAUUUUCCUGGAUAAGUAUUUUCCUAGUUCUUUGAGGACUCAGAAAGAGUUUGAAUUUCAACCGCUCAGGCAGGGAACUAUGUCAGUAGAUGCGUAUGCUGAAAAGUUCAAAGAUAUGGCUGCAUAUUCUAAACAAGCCGCAUACGCACCUGAUGAGAGGUGGAAGAUUGAUCAGUUUCUUUUUGGUCUGAGGGGUGAAAUUUCUCAUAGUGUUUCUCAAAGGGAAUUCACUUCUUAUGCUGAACUGUUAAGACCAAUGUUAUGUGGCUGAGAACAGUUUGAAGAAAGUUCAAGAAGAAACGGAUCAAUUCAGGAGUGGCAGAGAAACCAAGGAAGGUCGGGAAGCCAAUUCAGGCCUAGAUCACGGGCUUUCAAGGGAAACAGGUGCAACAUGCAAGACCUAACCAACCUCCUCAAUGUAAGCAUGUAAGAAGUAUCAUUUUGGAAGAUGUGCUGUAAGUGGAAUUAGGUGUUUUACUUGUCAGAGAGAGGGGCACAUGUUUAGGGAAUGCCCUCAGAAUAAGAAUCAGAUGCAGGGGAGGAGUACCGGUCGAGUUUAUACCUUGGAUGCAAGGAAGUCUAAGAGCAACAAUGCCUUAAUUGCUGGUACGUGUCUCGUCAAUAAUCAUCCUUGUUUUGUAUUAUUUGAUUGUGGGGCGACACACUCUUUUGUAUCAAUUCGGUGCAUGAAGCGUCUUGGCUUGCAAGCAAUUCCCUUGUCUCCUCCUAUGGUGAUUACUACCGCCAAGGAUGAUGUGGUUGAGACACUGUUGAUUUGUGAAAAUUGUUCGCUCUCGGUGAAUGGUAGAAUUUUUCAGAUUUAUCUUAUUUGUUUACCAUUUAAGAAGGUUGAUAUGGUUUUAGGGAUGGAUUGGCUUUCCGCCAACUCGGUGUUUAUUGGUUGUGAAGAGAAGUUGAUUAUCAUUCCAUCUAGUGAAUCUACUCCAAAGGAUGUGUUAACUACAAUCUUGGAAGGUACGGCUGGCAUGGUUAAUUUCUUAUUUGAGAAUGAAAAGUCAGUUCUCUUGGUUCUUAGCAAGGAAUCUAGCGAUAAUUUGAGUGUUACACAAAUCCCUGUUGUUUGUGAAUUUCCGAAAGUUUUCCUGAGGAUGUCUCCUCUCUUCCUCCUGAAAGGGAAGUGGAAUUCUCUAUUGAUCUGAUACCUGGGACGGCUCCAAUCUCCGUCUCUCCGUAUCGCAUGGCGCCACUAGAGUUGAGAGAGUUGAAGAAUCAAUUGGAAGAGUUGUUGACCAAGCAUUUCAUCUGACGUAGUGUCUCACCAUGGGGAGCUCCAGUGUGUUUAGUAAAGAAGAAGGACGAUAGUAUGCGGUUGUGUAUUGAUUAUCUCCAGUUGAAUAAAGUUACCAUGAAGAACAAGUAUCCUCUGCCAAGGAUAGACGAUUUGUUAGAUUAGUUGAAAGGAGCCUGCGUGUUCUCGAAGAUUGAUCUACGAUCGUGCUAUCAUCAAAUAAGAGUUAAGAGUUCGGAUGUACCAAAGACCGCAUUAAGAACCUGAUAUGGCCAUUAUGCAUUCCUUGUAAUGCCGUUUGGUGUAACGAAUCCCCCAGUUGUUUUCAUGGAUUAUAUGAAUCGGAUAUUCCAACCCUACUUGGACCAGUUUGUGGUGAUAUUUAUUGAUGACAUUCUUAUUUAUUCUAGUGCUUCUCAAGAGCACGGAGGAGUAUCGGUGGAUCCAUCUAAAGUUGAAGCAGUUAUUAAUUGGGAAAGACCGAAGAAUGCUUUCGAAGUAAGAAGUUUCUUAGGUUUAACAGGUUACUAUCGAAGGUUUAUAAAGGGAUUUUCGCAGAUAGCGUUACCAAUGACUAGACUUACCCGAAAAGAAAUUUCUUUCAAAUGGGAUUCGAAGUGUGAGAAGACAAAAUACUCAAACUUCCUGAAGCUAACGACUGCUCCUAUUUUAGUCAUUCCUGAUCCUAGUAAGUCUUAUGAAGUAUUUUGUGAUGCCUCUAAGAAAGGAUUAGGAAGCAAUCGAUUGGUCCUGUAUAAAUUUCAUUUUUUAUGCUAAACCAAAGGCUGUCAAUCGAUUGGUAACAGGGGCCAAUCGAUUGGUUCACUCAUAUUUUCAUUUUUCCACUUCUCAGAACAUCAUUUUCCUCUUUAACUCCAUUUCCAAUCAAACCCACGCUCCUUCAUCCAACACAUCCAUCUCACUACAUGCUCAUAUACACAUGUACAACAAGAAUCCCAAGUUCAUAACUACAAGGAUUUAAACAUCAUAACAUAACCAUAACAAAUCAUAUUAUCAUACCAAUCAAUAAAACACAUCAAGGCACAUGUUCAUGGAAAUCAACAAGAGCAAGAACAUAUUCAUCUUAUAGCAUGGAUUUUCAUGAUUUGUCUAACAUUCUACAACCCUAACUUUUCUAGAAACCUAAAGUUUUCUAACUAGAACCCACCUCAAGAAAUUGAAGAGGAGAAGUUGUGGAAGAUGAAAUGAGGAUGAAGAUGAUGGUGCUGGUUCCAAGUUUUUUCCUUCUUCUUCUUCUCUUCUCCAUUAGCCUUGCUUUUCCUUCUUCUCUUAAGCUUCCUCUUUCUUUUUAUGCUUUCCUUUCUCUCUACUUAUCCUUUCUGAUACAUAGAAAACAAAUGGCAAGUGUGAAGUGGUAUAAGACACAAACAUGUGGUGGUGAGUGGGUCAAAGGUCAUAAACAAGUGGCCAUUAUGAUUUAUGUGGUUAGAAAGUGGUGGAGUGGUAGCAACAAAUAUCUCAAGUGGCACUAACUUGUAAUAUUUGUUCUACCGGAGCUAUUGACCCAUUAUUAGUGUUACCAAAAUAUCCCAAUUAAUAAAAGGUCAGUUCCAAAUAAUAUUAAUUAAGUCAACCUGAACUCACUAUUUGCUCUAUUUAUCCCAAUUGGCAACUUUUAGAGCACAUAGGAACUAAGUUGAUCUCAAUUAAUAGGAAUUUAGGCAUUUAAGGAAAUACAGGGUAUUACACAAAGUGUUGAAAUUUAAACUUAAGAUAUUGAAAAUAAUGAUAAUGAAAGCAUGAGUAUAAAAAUAUUUCAAGGUUGGUUUCUUAAUGUAAUCUUUUCUCGAGUAAUUCCUUGUUAAAAAUGUUUAAUCUUAGUUAAGAAAACAUGAAAUGAAGGACUUUGAUUUUUAGCUUAAGUAUCACUCGGGGAAGGCGAAUAAGGUUGCGGAUGCCUUAAGUCGGAAAGAGAUACAUAAAGUGGAGCUGAUGAUGUUAGAGUACGCAUUGUUGGAAAAGUUCCGAGAUCUCAAUCUUCAGUUUAGUUGGACGCAGGAUGGUGUGGUAAUGGGAAAUUUGAAUGUUACUUCUAACCUAAGUGAAGCGAUCCGACAAAUACAAAUUAUAGAUGAGAAAUUGCAAGAGAUGUCAACUCAACCGGGUUUCACUCAGUCACCAGAUAGAGCCAUUCUGUUUAAUCAAAGGAUUUGUGUUUCGGAUGAUGUAGAGCUGAAAAGGAAAGUUUUGGAGGAAGCUCACAAAGGGGCGUUUACUAUACAUCCAGGUUCAUCGAAGAUGUAUCAAGACUUGAAGAAGGACUAUUGGUGGCCUGAAAUGAAAAGGGAUAUCCCAGAGUAUGUGUUAGAAUGCAUUGUAUGCCAACAGGUAAAGAUUGAACAUCAGAAGCCAUGUGGUUUAUUGUGGCCUUUAGAGAUUCCGGUUUGGAAAUGGGAUAGUAUUUCAAUGGAUUUUGCGAUAGGGUUACCUCGGACCCAAGGUGGUUAUGAUUCAAUUUGGGUGAUUGUGGAUCAGUUGACUAAGUCCACACACUUCUUGGUCGUGAAGACUACUUACAAAGCAAGUUAUCUUGCACGGUUGUUCAUUUCAGAAAUGGUUAGGUUGCAUGCAGUUCCUACUAGCAUUGUGUCCGAUAGAGACCCGAAGUUUACUUCAAGGUUUUGGAGAGCAUUCCAACAAGCUAUGGGAUCUAGAUUGUGUUUGAGUAGCUCUAGUCAUCCUCAGACAGAUGGUUAGACUGAACGGACAAUACAGACACUAGAAGAUAUGUUAAGAGCCUGUGUACUUGAAAGUGGAGGGAAUUGGAAGGAGCUUUUACCAUUGAUUGAAUUCACAUAUAACAAUAGUUAUCAUGCAAGUAUUGGGAUGACUUCUUUUAAAUCUUUGUAUGGACAGAAAUGUAGAACACCUUUAUGUUGGACAGAAGUUGGCAAAGAAAGGAUCUUAGGACCGGAGAUUAUUCAAGAGACAACAGAAAAGAUAAGGAUGGUCCGUGAUAAGAUAAAGAAAGCACAAGAUCGCCAAAAGAUCUAUGCGGAUCACAGGAGAAGACCAUUGGAAUUUGAUGAAGGUGACCAUGUAUUUUUGAAGGUGACAUCGAGGUUGAGACUCAAAGGACCGUUUAAGUCACGGAAGCUAAGUCCGAGAUACAUAGGGCUAUACCAGAUUAUAGAGAGAAUUGGAGAAGUAGCCUACAAAUUAGCCUUACCACCUUUUCUAUCAGAAAUGCAUGAUGUUUUUCACAUAUCUCAACUCCGGAAGUUCAUCCCAGAUUCUCUUCAGCCUAUUCUUCCAGAUUUAGUAGAAGUAGAAGCAGAUCUGACUUUUGAACCUCUACCAAGUUGCAUUACAGAAUGAUAAGUUAAGGUGUUAAGGAAUAAGGAGAUUCCUCUUGUUAAGGUUCAGUGGGAUGAAUCACACCCAGGCGACGCCACCUAGGAACUAGAGUCAGAAAUGCGAGAAGCUUACCCUCAUCUCUUCCAGGUAAUAUUUAAAUUCGAGGAUGAAUUUUAUUUAAGGGGGAGGAUGUAAUACCCCGUUGAUCCGCUGUCGCACGCGGAUCAAAACGAGUAUUUUUGACAAAACGUAGUUAGCGACAAAAUGACUCGGAUUAUCGUUCUCACAAGGAUUCUUGAAUGAAUUAACCAAUGAUAGUAACGAUUAAUGGGGUUUUGGUUGGUUUAGGAUUCAAUUUUAAAAAAAUAGAUUAAAAUAAGUGAUUAAUGAAAUAAGUUGUAGCAACAAUUUACUGAUUCGGUCUUUGCCUAUCAUCGACUAUCGUAAUUCCAACCGCAGAUUAACUAUUCCUAUUCGAUUAUAAUAUCAAAUGACAAAUGCAAUUGAUAGUAUAAGUUGUAUGUUCCUAUUAUCCGAAUUAAGCAAACGGGAUUAAGUUUCAUGAAUUAAGCAAACAUGAAUUAAACAGAUUCGAUAACGAAUUAAGCAAACAAAAUCGUGACUAUAGUUAGGAUCACACAAUCAAUCGGAUUAAAUCAAUAUAGCAUAUGUAAAUCGGAUUAAGCAAAGAAAAUACAUAUAUUAAUAUUGAAAGGAAUAAAAAACCUGAAUAGAAAUUACUAAAAUCUCAAGGUAUCGGAACCUGAAUACAACAAAUUGUUUGGAUCAAUUAGUUCUUCAUGAGAAUUCUUGCCAAAGCUUUCAAGUCUUUCGUGAAUAGUGAUAAUCCUCAUAUUAUGCGGCUGCUAGAUAUAUGGAAAACAAGGAAUUUGGUUUACAACCCAACUGGAUCGAAAACAUAACCCAAGCCCAAAACUAAUGACCCAAAACUUAAAUAAAACUAAUGCUGCAACUUCCGUGAAUUUUCUGGCCCUGCUACAUUCUGAGUCAGCUCUCGACUUCUGAACAAAAGUUGUAGAUCUUUUUCUUAGCUUUCCAUCGACUGGUAACACGUCUCAAUCCGAUACUCCUAGCUCAAGAUAUGAUUUUUCUCACGAAAGUUGUUAAUGCUGAAAAUUAAAUACGAAAAUUAAAUAAGUGCAAAAACAACAUUAAUUAUGAAAACACAUUAAAACACAAAAAUAAUCAAAGCAAACCGAAGAAAUGCUUAAGUACAAACAUGGAAGAACGUGCAUCCAAAAUGCACUGAUCAAAUUUCCCCACACUUGAACUUUUGCACUCCGAGCAAAAUGAAAAACAAAACAAAACACAGACACAUCAACGGUUAGUCAUUCUAGGCUACAAGUCAUCUUUGAUUAAGUUUGCAUCGAUAGGUACUAAUCUUGCACACUAAGGAUAUCGUAGGAACACUAAUCCAUAAUUGUGCAGUCAUAAACCCCCUGAAUACACAAAUCAACUCGAAUCAUGUUAUUAUGUUAAAGCCUAACUUACUCAUCCUUCUUUUUGCUCUUUUUCAUUCAGGCGCAAUCACAUUAAGCCCGUUAUCUCCACACACCCAUAACAAGGUGACCGGUUAGUGACUCUGAUCCUUUUUACACGGGAUUCUAGUACCUACGUGGCAUAACCCUUUGCUUAUUCAGUUGUAGUUGUGAGAGAUUGGACCGUAAUCCGCCCUACCAAGUUCAAUACCAGAAACCGCUGAACCAACUGACAACUAGUCUUAUUUUCAAUUUUUUUGAAGGUUCUACAUCCGUUGGGUUAAGUGACAGGGUGAGGGUCACCAAACUUAGAAGGUGCAUUCCUUGUUUUUUUUUCGGAGCACUCACUUAUAUUCAUCGGCUUCCCUACGUAGAAUGCGUGUGAGAUGGUGCUGACUGCUGAAAUAAACUACUCAAGAGCUAUAAGAAAAAUGAGAACUCAAGGCUAUGUCAUAACAAGUAUUCAAAAUGAUUUUCAUAUUCAGGAGAUUUAAGGUGUUAAAAGAUGGUGCUGACUGCUGAAAUAAACUACUCAAGAGCUAUAAGAAAAAUGAGAACUCAAGGCUAUGUCAUAACAAGUAUUCAAAAUGAUUUUCAUAUUCAGGAGAUUUAAGGUGUUAAAACGAUACCGUUCUUGUGAACUUUUACCAAGUCUCUACAAGCCAACCUCAAAUUAUUCUAUAGCCUAAAACUUUCAACAAAAAUGCAAUUUUUUUUAGAAAGAAAACAAAAACAAAACAAAACAAAGAACAAAAACAAAUAAAAUAAAGUAUUCCCUCCCCCACACUUACAAUAUGCAUUGUCCUCAAUGAAAGAAACAAACAUAAAAUAAGAGAGAGAAGAGAGAGGAAAGAACACACCCGAGUAGUCAAGGAGGAUAGAUGAUCACAUAAGUAGCCUUUCGCAAAGAGAUAUAUUCUACAUUUUCUUCUUCCAAAGUGGGGCUGUCAUGGAAUAGCUUUGGGUAAUGUCCAUUGAACUUGAAUUUUUUAUUAGUAUCUUCGCCUUUUAUUCCAGGAUCAAAGAAUCUUCUAAAAGUAAAAGUGUCAAAUGGACACAUUUCAGCACAAACAGAGCAAAUUUUAGUUUCAGUACAAAUAUCACAAGAAUAAACAUCAUCAAAACCAGACAAUGAUGGAAAAUCAGAUGCAAACAAAUCACUACAAGUAUCAUCAACAAUUUCAAAUAUCAAAUCUAUUUGAAAAACAAAAUGUUCUUCCAAGUGUUGUUGGUUUGAUCCUUGAGCUUGCUGCAUGGCAUUCACCAAAGUGGCAAGCUGCCCAAUCUGUGUUUGCAAAGUCUUUAAAGUAGAAUCUACUUGUUGUUGAAACUGGAGAUUAUUUGCAGCCCUUUGUUUGACAAUAUCUUCUAGUGAAGGUCCAGAAGGUGCAGAGCAUACAACCUCAAAUUCCUUCAGAUGCUCAUGCGGAUCCUCACCUGCAAGACCACUAAACUUUGAAAACAAGUGUAUUAAACCAGAUUUCAAUUCAAAAGGAACCGAAACAUCAGAAUAUUCAAUACAAAAGUCAUUAUAAUUAACAUCAGGAGCAGCAAACUGCCUUAAUGUUCUUUGAUCAUCCAUGUUAAGAAUAAAUUCAGAAAGAAGAACUGAUUAAAAUAAAAGAGUCACAUACAAUAUAUAUCUUAUAUAUUAUAUAUAUCUCUAUGGAGCUCGAAAUAAAUUCUGUAGAAGUCAUUUUGGAUUUUUUCGACACUAUGAAAACAGUAAAAAAUUAAUUAAAAAUAGAAAAACAAGGAAUUGAUCGCACGAUUUUUCUGCUUCCAGUAGGCAAAAAACUUAUACAAUCAAACAUAAAUUUUCCAAAAACCGGUUUUUUCUGACUCAAGACGCAACUCCGAACGCGAAACUGUAGAAAAAUUCGGAAAAAUAACAGGAAAUUGCAGAACAACAAAACACACAAUACUUAAAACUAAAUUAUUGGCUAAUUCGACAAGAAUCCCCGGCAACGGCGCCAAUUUGAUCCGCUGUCGCACGCGGAUCAAAACGAGUAUUUUUGACAAAACGUAGUUAGCGACAAAUUGACUCGGAUUAUCGUUCUCACAAGGAUUCUUGAAUGAAUUAACCAAUGAUAGUAACGAUUAAUGCGGUUUUGGUUGGUUUAGGAUUCAAUUAAAAAAAAUAGAUUAAAAUAAGUGAUUAUUGAAAUAAGUUGUAGCAACAAUUUACUGAUUCGGUCUUUGCAUAUCAUCGACUAUCGUAAUUCCAACCGCAGAUUAACUAUUCCUAUUCGAUUAUAAUAUCAACUGACAAGCGCAAUUGAUAGUAUAAGUUGUAUGUUCCUAUUAUUCGAAUUAAGCAAACGGGAUUAAGUUUCAUGAAUUUAGCAAACAUGAAUUAAACGGACUCGAUAACGAAUUAAGCAAACGAAAUCGUGACUAUAGUUAGGAGCACACAAUCAAUCGGAUUAAAUCAAUAUAGCAUAUGUAAAUCGGAUUAAGCAAACAAAAUACAUAUAUUAAUAUUGAAAGCAAUAAAAAACCUGAAUAAGAAUUACUAAAAUCUCAAGGUAUCGGAACCCGAAUACAGCAAAUUAUUUGGAUCGAUUAGUUCUUCAUGAGAAUUCUUGCCAAAGCUUUUAAGUCUUUCGUGAAUAGUGAUAAUCCUCAUGUUAUGCGGCUGCUAGGUAUAUGGAAAACAAGGAAUUUGGUUUACAACCCAACUGGAUCGAAAACAUAACCCAAGCCCAAAACUAAUGACCCAAAACCUAAAUAAAACUAAUGCGGCAACUUCAACGAAUUUUCUGGCCCUGCUACAAUCUGAUUCAGCUCUCGACUUCUGAAUAAAAGUUGUAGAUCUUUUUCUUAGCUUUCCAUCGACUCGUAGCACGUCUCAAUCCUAUACUCCUAGCUCAAGAUAUGAUUUUUCUCGCGAAAGCUGUUAAUGCUGAAAAUUAAAUACGAAAAUUAAAUAAGUGCAAAAACAACAUAAAUUAUGAAAACACAUUAAAACAUAAAAAUAAUCAAAGCAAACCGAAGAAAUGCUUAAGUACAAGCAUGGAAGAACGUGCAUCCAAAAUGUACUGAUCAAAUUAUUUCCUUAAACACCUAAAUUUCUAUUAAUUGAGGUCAACUGAGUUUCUAUGUGCUCUAAAAGUUGCCAAUUGGGAUAAAUAGAGCAAAUAGUGAGUCCAUGCUGACUUAAUUAAUAUUAUUUGGACCUGACCUUUUAUUAAUUGGGACAUUUUGGUAACACUAAUAAUGGGUCACUAGCUCCGGUAGAACAAAUAUUAUAAGUUUGGUGCCACUUGGGAUAUUUGUUGCUACUAGAAACCACUUACUAACCACAUGUUUCUAUUAGCCACUUGCAUUUGGUCUUUGAAUCACUCAUCACCACAUGUUUCUACCUACCAUAAGCCACUUCAUUUGUUCUAUGUAUCAGAAAGUAUAGAAAGAUAGAGGAAUCUCAAGAGAAGAAGGGAAAGCAAGGCUAGUGGAGAAGAAGAAGAAGAAGAAGAAGAAGAAGAAGAAGAAGAAGAAGAAGAAGGAAAACUUGGAACCAACACCAUCAUCUUCAUCCUCAUCUUAUCUUCAACAACUUCUCCUCUUCAAUUUCUUGAGGUGGGUUCUAGUUAGAAACUCUAGGUUUCUAGAAAAGUUAGGGUUGUAGAAUGUUAGACAAAUCAUGAUAAUCCAUGCUAUAUAAUGAAUAUGUUCUUGCUCUUGUUGACUUCCAUGAACAUGUGCUUUGUUGUGUUCUUAUAUUGGUUAUGAUAACAUGAUUUGUUAUGGUUGUGGUGGAAUAAUUAGUUGUGAUUAUGACCUUGAAAAUCCUUGUGAUUGUGAGCUUGAAAUCUUUGAUUUAUAUAUGUAUGAGAACAUUUAAUAUGAUGGGUUGUUGUUGGAAGAAGUAGUGGUAAUUUGUAGAAAUGGUAUAACAGAGGAAAAUGGUAUCUGUGAAGUGAAAGGAGAAAAUGUGAGUGGAUCAAUCGAUUGGCCUCUGUCAACCAAUCGAUUGACAGCCUUUGGUUUAGCAGAAAAAUGAAAUUUGUACAGGACCAAUUGAUUGACACUGCAUGUCAAUCGAUUGCACAAACUUGCUGUAUAUGAACAAUGGAAAUUUUUAACAGGACCAAUCGAUUGACACACAACAAAUUUUGAAAAAACAGAAAUGUGAGAGGAAUCAAUCAAUUGGGCUUCCCCAACCAAUCGAUUGACUCAAGUUAAAAACUUCAAAAUCCAUUUCUUAAGUGUUUUUAAAUGCAUUCUUCCAACCAUUAAUCAAUUGUGAUGCCAUGCUUAAGUUGAAUACAUGUUAAUAGUGAGAAUUACAUGAUGAAUAUAAUAACUUAACCUAGGAUUGGUAUUAGGUCUUGAGUGAGGUUUAUGACUUAGAUAACAUUGAAUGACAGUAUUCAUUCGUAUGGCGCUUAUGUGGAGGUCGUGUACGAAUUGUUGCCAUGAUUGAGAAUGAGACAUGUUGUAUGGAACAUGCUAUGUUAUAUUUAUGUAUUAUGGUGAAUGAAGUCACCUGUGUUUGAUGAAUUUUGUUAUGGUUCAUGGAACCGAUGAUUGUAGAACCGAUCAUGUAUUUAGAAUGUGUAUUUUUUGUGACGGUGCAAUCUCUAUUGGUAUGCUUAGACGUGUAAGCAUUGGGAUGUGGGACCAAUGAUUCGAGCCUCAAUUGGGUUUGAGCCCCAUCCAUGGCGGACAUGGGGGAAAGGUGGACACCUAGGUGGGUUGGAGUCCCAUACGGUGAAAGAUACCCUAGAUGGGUUAGAGUCCCAUAGGGUGACGGUCACUUGAACUAGGGACUAAGCCUCAUAGAGGACCCGAUAUCCACCGCGAAAGUUGAAUCAUACGAGCAUGCAUGAAUCGGGCCUGGCUUAGACGUAAGUCCGUUCGGGAAUUGAUGCGUCGUAAUCUAAAUAAUAAUCGUGGUUGAGUUAUGAGAACUCAGAUGCAUGUUGCCAUACAAUUGUGAGUUAGUUCCCCAUCGCUCAAGUCUUCUUUCCCUUGUUGACUUGAGUUGGAUAUGAGUUGAAUAUUGAUUCGAAAACCCUGUAGAGCCGAGUAGACCCAUAAGAUAGUGAACCCACUGAGAUUAUUAUCUCACCCAAUGUUGUUGAUUAUUUUUUUCAGGUGGUUCUGAGCAGGAUAAGGGUAAGGGCAAGAUAGAGUGAUGUCUUGCUUACCUGAGGACUGAUGGCUUUUCUUCGGCUGAGUAGACAUUUUUGAGAUCAUUGUCUAAUGAUCUAGAUCAGUAGUUUAAUUUGGGCACUCUUAUGUACAUUUAUGCCAUAUUGUGUUAUUUUGAGCAUGUAUUUGUAUAUGUAUAUUGUGCUGCUAGGCACUUAUGUAUUUUAGUACCAAUAUUACGUUAUGUAUAAUAUGUAUUCUAGACAUAUAUUAUAUGUGGGUGUUACAAAAUUGAUACUACUUUUCGACAAAUUAAAUUCGUAUUGAUCUCCAUGGUCGUAACUGGCCACUUCAAUUUUUGACAAUAAACUCCUUAUCACAUGAAACUUAUCAUAUUUUUAUAAUUAAUGCUCGAAAAUGUGAGGUAACAGCGUCACAUUUUACUUUUUUUUCAAAUAUCAUAUAUUCCCUCAAUUGAGCUAGAAAACAAGGGGUAAAGUAGCGUAUUUUUUAAUAAAUUAUUUAUGACCAAUUUGAUGGAAAAAAAUCAAAUAACGAAUCAAUAUCGUGCAUUUAUAAAGUAACAAUGGUCAAGACAUUGUCAAAUUAUCAAUCCACAUGAAACAUUGGUGAUAUGCGUGAAACUCUGACUAGCCAAUUAAAACGUGAAUCCCACAAUUAUCCAUCUUAGAUGCAAAGUUCUGAAAAAUAAACUUAAGAUGUUGAAAAUAAUGAUAAUGAAAGCAUGAGUAUACAAAUAUUUCAAGGUUGGUUUCUUAAUGUAAUCUUUUCUCGAGUAAUUCCUUGUUAAAAAUGUUUAAUGUUAGUUAAGAAAGCAUGAAAUGAACUUACUAAUCUUAGUUGUAGUUGUAUCAAGUAAAAUGUUUAAUAUUGUUGGUAUCGGUGUUGAAAUUUAGUAGUUAACGAUUCUAAAAUGUUUAAUAUUGUUGUUGUUGUUGAAAUAUAGUAGUUAACGAUUCUAUUGAUUUUGUCUGUUUUUUUUGUUUUUUUUUGUUUUUGAGAUUUAAUGUUUAAAUAUUCCACAAACUUUGUUGUUUUUGUUGUUUUUGUUGUUGAGAUUUAAUAUUUAAAGUUUCUAUUGAUUUUGUGUUUGUUGUUAUUAUUGGUUUUCUUGUUGAUGAUGAGGACGAUUUAGAAUUUGCCAACAAAUUUGAUGCUUUGCAGAUUAAAAUGAAAAAAAAAUCAACUUAAAACUAAAAUUUUGUAAACAGGACCUUACCCCUCGGUUAUUGUUAAAAAUCGAGGUAAAAAGUAGCAUUGUUUUUAAAAUCCAAAAAAUAUAGUUGUAAUGGAUCAAACCUGUUACCAGUGCCACUUUUCUCUUCGGUUAUUAAAAACCUGAUGGAUAAAGUGGCAGGUUUUCAUGUCGCUUUUCGUUACCUUAUAUGUGUAGUCGAGGUUAUAUACCCUUCGCGACCGAGAUGAAUGUGGUUAUUUGUAGUAGGGAUGUGUGGGAGAGUACCAAUUUUUUCCUUCUAUUGGCACAGUUUUAACAUGUAGCCCAUAAUAAAUCGUAGCUCAAAUUUGAGUAUAAACUAGAUAAGAACCUGCGUGAUGCGCGGUUGUGAAAUAAUUUUUAUUUGAUUAAUAUUGAAUUUAAAUUAUAUAUAUAUAUAUAUAAUAGUAUAUAUAAUAUAUAUAUAAUAUAUAAUAUUAUUAAAUAUUGUUAAAGAUUUAUAUUAUAACAUCUUAAUGAAUUAUAAUAUAGACAACAAUACAAAUUAAUCAACAAUAAAAAUGAAUAUUUUACUUGAAAGAAAAUAUUAUGUUUGUAAUUUGACAGUUAUAUCUAGAAUUUAAUUUUGCAAAUUUUAAUAAUUCUAAAAGAUACUACUUGUGAUCAUUUUUAUAUUUUGAUUCUCAUUUCUCUCCGACACUCAUAUGUGAGAAAUCAAUAAUGUUAUUCAAAAUAAUCUAACAACCCAUUUUCAAUACUUGUGAAAGAUAUGGUAAAGAGUUAUAUUAUAAUAUCUUAUUGUGAAUUAUAAUAUAGACAACAAUAUGAAUUAAUCAACAAUAAAAAUAACAUUUUACUUGAAAGAAAAAUAUAUGUUUGUAAGUUGACACUUAUAUCUAGAAUUAAUUUUGCAAAUUUAAUACCUCUAAAAUAAUACUUGUGAUCAUUUUUUAUAUUUGCUUUUCAUGUCUCUCUAACACUCAUAUGUGAGAAAUCAAUAAUUUUAUUCUUUAUCAAUACUUUAUUUGUUUGUUGUAAUAUGAAUAAUGUAAUAGUGAUGUUUAUCAAUAAGAUUGAAAAGUGUUGCAUGCUCUAUCAUAUUUCAAUAUCAAAAAAUAGUGGCAAAUCUUUGAAAUUUGUGUAAUACCUAAUUUGACAUUAAAGAUAUUUAUUUUAACUUUUAUUUGCUAUGAUUUCAAGAAAAUCAAAAAUAUUUAAUAGUUUUUGGAUUCUCUUUUAUUGUUAAAAUUUGAGCAGAUAUACUUAGUUGAAGUAAUUUGUCACACCCACAUAUAAUAUAUGUCUAGAAUCAUAUUAUACAUAGUGUAAAACUGGUACUGAAAUACAUAAGCGCCUAGCAGCACAAUGUACAUAUACAUACAUGCCCAAAGGAAACAUAACAUGGCACAAAAUGUACACAAAAAUGCCCAAAAUAAAACUACUAGGAGCUAGAUCAUUAAACAAUGAUCCCAUCAAUAUCUACACAAUGGAAAAUCCAUCAAGUCGUCAGGUAAGCAAGACAUCACUCUAUCUUGCCCUUACCCUUCACCUGCUCAGAACCACCUGAAAAAAAUAAUCAACAACAUGGGGUGAGGUAAUAAUCUUAGUGGGUUCCCUAUCUUAUGGGUCCACUCGGUUCUACAGGGUUUUCUAAUCAAUAUACAACUCAAUUCAACAAGGGAAGGAAAACUUAAGCAAAGGGGAAACUAACUCGCAAUGUAUGGCAACAUGCACCUGAGUUCUCACAACUCAACCACAAUCAUUAUUCAGAUCACGAAACAUCAAUUAUCGAACGGACUUACGUCUAAGCCAGGCUCGGUUCAUGCAUGUUCGUAUGAUUCGACUUUCGCGGUGGAUAUCUGGUCUCUAUGAGGCUUAAUCCCCAUUUCAAGCGACCGUCACCCGUAUGGGAAUAUAACCCACUUAGGGUCUCUUUCACCGUAUGGGAAUCUAACCCACUUAGGUGUCCACCUUUCCCCCAUGCUCAUCGUGAUUGGGACUCAAACCCAAUUGAGGCUCGAAUCAUCAGUCUCACAUCCCAAUGCUUACUCAUCUAAGCAUGCCAAAUAGAAAUGUGCACCAUCACAGAAAACACACAUUCUGAAUACAUGAUCGGUUCCACAAACCAUCAGUUCUACAAAUCAUAACAAGAUCCAUCGAUCACAGGUGACUUCAUUCACCAUAAUACAUAAACAAUAACAUGGCAUGUUCCAUACAAUGCGUCUCAUUCUCAAUCAUGGCAACCAUUCGUCCACGACCUCCACAUAAGCGGCGUACGAAUGAAUACCGUCAUCCAAUGUUACCUAAGUUAUAAACCUAAUUCAUGGCCUAAUACCAAUCCUAGGUUAACUUACUAGAUUCAUCAUGUAAUUCUCACCAUUAGCAUGUAUUCAACACAAGCAUAGCAUCACAUUUGAUUAAUGGUUAGAAGAAUGCACUUAGAAACACUUAAGGAAUGGAUUUUGAAGUUGUUAACAUAAGUCAAUCGAUUGGUUGGGGAGGCCCAAUCGAUUGGUUCCUCUCACAUUUCUGUUUUUCAAAAUUUGCAAGGGAUCAAUCGAUUAAUCCUCAGUGUCAAUUGAUUGGCUCACUAAAAUUUUCCAUUGUUCAUAAACAGAAAGUUUGUGCAAUCGAUUGUAAUACACUGUCAAUCGAUUGGUCCUGCUAAAAUCACAUUUUCUACAAAACAAAAGGGUUGUGCAAUCAAUUGAUGACAGGGACCAAUCGAUUGGUCCACACACAUUUCACUUUUCCAUUUCACAGAACACCACUUCCUUUAUUAAACCAUUUCCAACAAAAUACCACUCCUUCUUGCAACAAACCCAACACACUACAUGCUCAUAUACACAUAUAUAACAAGGAUUUCAAGUUUAUAAUCACAAAUAUUUCAAGGUCAUAACCACAACCAAUCAUUUAACCACAUCCAAAACAAAUCAUGUAAUCACAACAAUCAUAAGAACACAUUAAGCACAUGUUCAUGGAAAUCAACAAGAGCAAGAGAGAUAUUCAUCAUAUAGUAUAGAUUUUCAUGAUUUAACUAUGAUUCUACAACUCUAAUCUUCUAGAAAUCCUAGGGUUUCUAACUAGAACCCACCUCAAGAAAUAGAAGAGGAGAAGUUGUUGAAGAUGAUAUAAUGAUGAUGGUGAUGAUGUUGGUUCCAAGCUCUUCUUUUUCUUCUUCUCCACUAGUUUGUUUUCUCUUCUUCUCUUGAGAUUCUUCUUUUCUCCACUAUCCUUUCUGAUACAUAGAGAAACCAAAUGGCAUGUGGUAGGUGGUAUAUGAUAAUAACAUGUGGUGGUGAGUGAGUCAAAGAGUAUUAGCAAGUGGCCAUGAGAAAUGUGUGGUAAGAAAAUGGUCACUAGUAGCAACAAAUAUCUCAAGUGGCACUAAACUGGUAAUAUUUGUUCUACCAGAGCUAUUGACCCAUUAUUAGUGUUACCAAAAUGUCCCAAAUAAUAAAAGGUCAGUCCCAAUUAAUAUUAAUUAAGUCAACCCGAACUCACUAUUUACUCUAUUUAUCCCAAUUGAUAACUUUUAGAGCACAUAGGAACUCAAUUGAUCUCAAUCAAUAGGAAUUUGGGUAUUUAAGGAAACACGAGAUAUUACAUCCUCCCCCCUUAAAUAAAAAUUUGUCCUUGAAUUUAAAUAUUACCUAGAAGAGAUGAGGGUAAGCUUCUCGCAUUCCUGAUUCCAGUUCCCAUGUAGCAUCGCCCGGAUGUGAUCCAUCCCACUGAACCUUAACAAGAGGAAUCUCCUUAUUCCUUAAUACCUUAACUUCCCGUCCUGCAAUACGACUUGGUAGAGGUUCGAAAGUCGUAUCUGCUUCUACUUCUAUUGAAUCUGGAAGAAUAGGAUGAAGAGAAUCUAGAAUGAACUUUCGAAGUUGAGAUACGUGAAAAACAUCAUGCAUUUUUGAUAGAGAAGGUGGUAAAGCUAAUGUGCAGUCUACUUCUCCAAUCCUCUCUAUAAUCUGGUAUGGCCCUAUGUAUCUUGGACUUAGCUUUCGUGACUUAAACGGUCCUUUCAGUCUCAACCUCGGAGUCACCUUCAAAAAUACAUGAUCACCUUCAUCAAACUCCAAUGGUCUUCUUCUGUGAUCCGCAUAGCUCUUUUGGCGAUCUUGUGCUUUCUUUAUCUUAUCACGGACCAUCCUUAUCUUUUCCGUAGUCUCUUGAAUAAUCUUCAGUCCUAAGAUCCUUUCUUCACCAACUUCCCUCGAACAUAGAGGUGUUCUACAUUUCCGUCCAUACAAGGCUUCAUAAGGAGCCAUUCCAAUACUUGCAUGAUAACUAUUGAUAUAUGUGAAUUUAAUCAGUGGUAAAAGCUCCUUCCAAUUCCCUCCACUUUCAAGUACACAAGCUAUUAACAUAUCUUCCAGUGUCUGUAUCGUCCAUCCAAUCUGACCAUCCGUUUGGGGAUGAUUGGACACACUCAAACACAAUCUCGAUCCCAUAGCUUGCUGGAAUGCCUUCCAAAAUAUUGAAGUAAACUUUGGGUCUCUAUCGGACACAAUACUAAUUGGAACACCAUGCAACCUAAUAAUUUCUGAAAUGAACAACCGUGCAAGAUGGCUUGCCUUACAAGUAGUCUUCACGGCCAAGAAGUGCGUGGACUUAGUUAACCGGUCCACAAUCACACAAAUUGAAUCAUAACCAACUUGGGUCCGAGGUAACCCUACUGCAAAAUCCAUUGAAAUACUACCCCAUUUCCAACCGGAAUCUCUAAAGGUUGCAAUAAACCACCUGGCUUCUGAUGUUCGAUCUUUACCUGCUAGCAUACAAUGCAUUCCGACACAUACUCUACAAUAUCCAUUUUCAUUCCAGGCCACCAAUAGUCCUUCUUCAAGUCUUGAUACAUCUUCGAUGAACCUGGAUGUAUAGUAAAUGCCCCUUUGUGAGCUUCCUCUAAAACUUUUCUUUUCAUCUUGGCAUCAUUCGGAACACAAAUCCUUUGAUUAAACAGAAUGACUCCAUCCGGUGACUGGGCGAAACCUGGUUGAGUCGACAUCUCUUGCAACUUCUCAUCUAUCAUUUGUCCUUGUCAGAUCUCUUCCCUUAGGUUAGAAGUAACAUUCAAAUUUCCCAUUAUCACACCAUCCUGCGUCCAACUAAACUGAAUAUUAAGAUCUCAGAACUUUUCCAAUAAUGCAUAUUCUAACAUCAUCAACUCAACUUUAUGCAUCUCUUUCCGACUUAAGGCAUUUGCAACCUUAUUCUCCUUACCCGAGUGAUACUUAAGCUCAAAAUCAAAGUCCUUCAAAUACUUCAUCCAUCUCCUCUGUCUCAUGUUUAACUCUUUCUGGUCAAAUAAGUAUUUCAAACUCUUUUGAUCACUAAACAUCUCAAAAUGCACCCCAUACAAGUAAUGUCGCCACACCUUCAAUGCAAAAAUAAUAGCAGCUAGUUCAUGAUCAUGAGUCAGAUAGUUCUCUUCAUGAGGCUUCAACUGACGAGAGGCAUGUGCUACAACAUGACCACUCUGCAUUAACACCCCUUCUAAUCCUUUCUUAGAGGCAUCACAAAAUACUUCAUAAGACUUACUAGGAUCAGGGAUGACUAAAACAUGAGCUGUCGUUAGCCUUUCCUUCAAACUCAUGAAAUUCUUCUCAUACUUCAAAUCCCACUUGAAAGAAAUUUCCUUCCGGGUAAGUCUAGUCAUUGGUAAUGCUAUCUGCGAAAACCCCUUUAUAAACCUUCGAUAGUAACCUACCAAACCUAAGAAACUUCUGACUUAGGAAGCAUUCUUCGGUCUUUCCCAAUUAAUAAUUGCUUCAACUUUUGAUGGAUCCACUGAUACUUCUCCUUUUGAUAUUACAUGACCAAGAAACUUCACUUAGUUCAUCCAAAAUUUACACUUACUUAACUUGGAAAAAAGUUGUUUCUCUUGCAAUACAGAUAGAAAAAUCCUUAUGUGUCCUCUGUGCUCUUGGGGAGUACGUGAAUAAAUAAGAAUGUCAUCAAUAAAGAUCACCACGAACUGGUCCAACUAAGGUUGGAAUAUCCGAUUCAUAUAGUCCAUGAAAACAGCAGGGGCAUUCAUUACACCAAAUGACAUUACAAGGAACUCAUAAUGGCCUUAUCGGGUUCUAAAUGCGGUCUUUGGUACAUCCGAACUCUUAACUCGUAUUUGAUGAUAACCCGAUCGCAAAUCAAUCUUCGAGAACACAUAAGAUCCUUUCAACUGAUCUAACAAAUCAUUUAUCCUUGGCAGAGGUGUCGCAGCCUGAAAAAGGAGAUGCGAAAAAACAACCGGCGAGAAAGAAAUGACAGAAGAGUCGCCACCGUGUGUUAUUUAUCCUAAAGGAGGGAAAGGAAACGCUCGAAGUAAACCUGGAAAAAGGAAAGGAAAAGACAAGGUCUCGCAACCAAAUCUUGGGUUCGGGAGCCGAUUAUGCGAAGGGAAGGUAUUAGCACCCAUACGCAUCCGUAGUACUCUACGGGAUCCACUCUUGUUAUUCUUGUCUAAAGGGUGUGUGUAUAUCUAAUGUACUAUUUACUAAAAGAGGGGUCAAAAGAAAAUGACUCGCACGGAUGUCGCAUCCACUGCAUACGUAUCUCAUCUGAACACGAGAAUCAGAGUCUUUGUAGCUCGGCUACCUAUGGGUUAAAGAGGAGUGUGCUCGCUAAGACAUCGCGUCUUAUGCCUACGUAUCUCAUCUGGAAUGAGAAUCAGAGCAAGCUGUAGUUC
rnacentral:lncRNA from 1 species